AAUAUAUAUGGUAGCCUAGCAAGCCAAACCAAAAGGUACUUACGUAUUACAUCUUAGUAUAUAAUUAAGUGGGCGGGAACAUGCAUGCAUAUAAUUAAGCUCCUUUGAACUUUUUAUUCCUCAAUACAGACACUAGUAAGGGCAUGUUCUGUGAUGUUGGCUAUGUUUAGUCAUCAUUAGAACGAAGGUAGAUAUCAACAGUAGCGUUGAUAGUAGGAAAAAGUUUGAAGUAAAAAUCAGGGUCUUCGCUGGUUGGCUUUUUUUUCUGAUAUUCGAUGGUCCAUUUUGCGGUGCUGGCAGUAGUAACCUGUAGAGUGACGGUGAAGUUGUCAUAUAAUUGCAGCAACGAUCCUUCCAGCAAUUUGUAGGUGAUUUUCCUGGAGCGGUCGUCAAUGGCUUCAACUAUAUACUUGAAUUUCUCCGCAGUAUCUGAUCAUAAUUAAAAAAAUCAAUGCCUAAUCUUAUAAAUGUCCAAGUAAUUUUAAUCAGGAUUUGAUCUAUUAUAGCUAGAAUUCAAAUCAUUUAUUGAAUGGAUCAGUACUGUAAUAUUGUAAUUGCAUCCUUAAUUAAUCUCGUACGUACCACGGCAAGAAUCGGCAGCCAGGAUUUCAAUCACCUUGCGAGAGCCAACAGUAUUAACCCAGCUUUUGUUACUGUCAACAAGUCCUAUUGUCUGCACAACAGAACCGCAGACAUUCGGUAAGAAGUUUGCUUGUUUCUUGAAGAAUUUAUAAAAAGCAGUAGUGGAGCAUUGAAUCGGUGUUUCAACAACUUUCCGGCUACGGGGAGCAAAACCAGAAAAUAAAUGAACUGGUGUUUCAAAGAAGCUCUCUUGAAGGCAAUCCAUAUUAUCAGUAGAGCUAAGAGACCUCGUUGGCUAGAUAACUGAUAAGGAUGCAAUGCAAUGAAGAAAUGUAGAGGCCUCAUUGGCAUUAAAUAGAAGAAAAGCCCAGCUUUAACCCUAUGAUUAUUCUUCUUUUGUCAAAUCAAUAGGACACCCACAAUUGUGAGAAUUUAGAAUUCACUCCCACCAAUAGAAUAGGAAGAUUCCACCAUCACCUUAUGUGAUGUGAUGCAUGGUCGUUUAUUUACAAUAAAAGUAAUUUUGACUUCUACUAAAGAGAUUGUUGCUCCUACAAUUGCUGCAACAAAAAGUUAUAUUCAGUAAAGAGAUUCCACAAUCAUUUUUUGUGAUGCAUGGUGAAAAACCUGAUUUGGAUUUUAAGAGGUGAGAAUAUAAAAUAUAAUCUAUUUCACUACCUUGAAUUUGAAAAUAAUCUUAAUUGAAAAUUCAUCAAAGCUAUCACAUAUAUGAUGAAUCUGAUCCCAAUAUAAUGUCAAUUAUAUAUGUAUUAAUACAAUGCAAUUUAGUAUGUAAAAACUACAUCUUUAAUGGAAUGGAGAAUAUACUCUAUAAUGGGUAUAGUUCCAUUAAUAGAACAAUGGCAUAAUAAGAAGCUUUUAGUCAAAAGUAUAAAGUUGAAAAUGCUACUAUGAAAAAAUUCAUAGUCGAUACAAUUCUUGACUUCAAUAUGGUUUAUUUGAAAAUUAUGAUAAAUCAAGUUCAAGAGUUUCAACUCAUCCUACAUGAUGUUUAUGUUGAGGAGAUGAUUAUGAAGAUAAAUCUUUCUAAAUGAAUGCUAUUAUUUAAAAAAUUAUCACCUUUCUGAAAAGAUUUCAAAAACUUCUUAAAUAUAAGCCAAAAGAGAAGGCAAUUUAAAAUUUUAUUUUGAGGUUGAAGAUAAAAUAGGAGAAUAUAUUUUUUGAGGAUAGCCAAUUCUUCUUUAAUGUUCUAUGGAAAAUGCGAUUGAACAAAUGAAAAAGUCCAGUAAUAAAAACCAAAAGAAAAGUCUUAUAUACUUUGAAGGGAAAAUGUAUUGCUAUGAAAUUCAAAGGCAAAUUCUUUAUCUAAAACAAGAUUACAUAUAAAGCAAAAAAUUACAAAAAUAAAUCUCAACAAGACAACUUUAAAAAAGGAAGGGUUACUUAAGCCAAUAUUGCUAAGAUUGAUAACCUCUAGAAUAAAAUGUUACUUGUUUGUGCUAAGAUGAGGAUGUUUUCUACUUAUAAUGAGGUCGAUGAUGAAUAGCUGUGAUGAUGAAUAGCUGUAAUUGAAAAAUUCAUCUACCUUUAAGGUACUUAAUAUUGAAAAGAUCAUUAUAAAGAUGACUUUCAAAAAACUUUUCAUUAUUAACAAUGUACUUCAUGGUAUUGAUAUUAGAAAGAACUUAAUGUUUAGCUUAUUACUAUAAAAAAGGAUGUUUAUAGGAAAAAGGUAUCUUUGUUAUCAUAUUUUCAAAAUGAAUGUAAUGAUCAUUAUAACAAAAAAUAAGAUUAAUAAUUAUAAGGGUGUCUCUUCUUCAUACUUGCUUGAGCAUUUUAAUUUGUAGUAUGACAGGCUUGGAUAUGUAAAUUAUAAUUUCAUAUAAAGAUUUAUUAAUCUUGAAUUUUUACCAAUUAUUGUUUUUGAAAAACAUCAUAAGUGUGAAAUUUAUAUAAAAUUAAAAUUCACAUACUUUUUUUGAGCUAAUUAAAAUAAGUAGUGAACUUUUAGGUUUAAUCCACAUAGAUAUUGAUGAUUUAUAAUUUAUAUAUACAUGUUAAAAAUGAGAAAAAAUAUAUUAUAUUAUGUUGAUAGAUUAUCAUACAAGGUAUUAUUAUACCUAUAAGCUAAGAAGCAUAGUUAAGGCUAUUUAAAUAUGUACACAUUAAAAAACAAAGGUUAAAAAAUCAACUAAAAAUGGAUAAAGGUAAUAAAAAGAGAUAAAUGUGGAGAGUAAAAAACAUAAAAAGGAAAUCUGCCAAUUAUUUACCUAAUAAAGUAUGUCACAAGAAGUUAGAAAAUACUAUUAUGAGUUGUUGAAAGGAAGAAGAAUUUUUCUAAAAAUAUCUCAAAGUAUGGGUGUGCUUUGAAAAAAUAGCAACACGUGAUCCUAAAAAGGUUAAAACAAAACCUAAAAAUAUAAAUUUUAUAUUUAUUGGAUAUGAUUAUAACCAAUUAGUGAGGAUUUUCCACUACAAUAAUAGAAUCAAAGAAUUAUAUAAUUUUUAAAGACGUGUUUUCUUCUAAAGAAACAUAGAAAAUCUAUUCAUUUUAAGAAGCAAGCUAAAGUGUUCAUCAUCUAAUAAAAGAUGAUAAAGCUUAGCUGACAAGGAGUAAAAUGGAAAAACUCAUAAAUUUUUUUGGUCUUAAUCACAUACUUAUUAAAAAAAAAACCCUCACCAGUCAUCCAAUAUAAUGACUUGUCAUGAAGUUUUCUACUAGAAAGAGGGUGUCAAUUAUGAGUUUAAAUCUAUUAUUGAUGUAGGAGGUUUAGAUAGAUUAAAAAAAUGGAUUUAUUGUAUCCAAACAAUAUGGAUAGCCUAAUAGAUAAGUAUUGGACUAAUAGACAGAUUCAAGUUUAAAAAGAGACAUAGUCACACCAAAUUAUUUGUAUUAUGGGAAGACUAUAAUUUUUUAUAUUACUAUUGGAUAGGUCUUAGAACUUUUCAAUGGAUUUUACAAGCCUGAUUCUAUAGUAAGUUAGCUAACUAGAAGAGAUUACAUGAAAAGUCUUUCAUGGUUAAAGACAAGGAGCAUAAUUUCUCAUAACAUUUUUUUUUCUUAUACGUUGUAUGAAAUUUUUGGCCUCAUCAAAAUGAUAUCAUUUUUAAUGAUGCUACCUCUAACCUUCAAAUUUAUUUCUCCAUGGUACACAAAAAUAUUGUUUUAUGGCCUAGACUUGAUUCCAGCUCUUUGGAAUAUUACCAAAAAAAAAGAAAAAGACAGGUCAUCUUUAUAUAAGAGGUAAUGAAGUUCACAUUCACAUAUUGAGAACGAGACAGUAUGAUAUUGUUAAAACUAUAUGAUAUUUUAUUGGAUGCAAACAAAAAUUGGGCUACUUGUAAGGAAAUUAAAAGAAAUAGCACAUGAAGAAUUAAACGAGCCUAACUGGGGGAAGAAGAGAUAAAGGAGGAAGAUGGACAUCUCAUGAAAAAAAACAUUUUUAAUAAUAAAAAAACAAAACCUCCCUUCAAUGCUACAUAACUACAUUGAUUGUAAGAAAGGAUGUGGGAAUUUGAACAACGUCAACCUCUCCAAAAGGUGGGGAGGUUAAAAACCCACAUAUAGCCUAUUACAAUUAGAGGGAAAAAAAAAUCAUAUUUUAACAAUAUGGUAUUUAUUUAACUAAAUCGAAGCUAAGCUUAAUCCAAAUCAUUGUAGCUAAAUCAUAUUUUAAACAAAACAUUUAUGCACAAAUUUCAUCAUAUCGUCAAAAUAAAAAAUCUAAAUUCAAACACCAAGCUGCUAGCAUCGUCUAAAUCUAAAAUCUCUUGGAGUCCCUAACACAUACUUGAAUGAAGCGUAGUCUUUACUCUAUUACUAAUAGAAAAAUUAGCAACCUGGUUUCUGGCCUGUCUCUACCUUUAAAAGAAUCCUUGAAUAACCCUUUUUUUUUUUUCCCAUUCGAACUUAUCUUGGAAUGCUUAGAAGAAAGAAUAAGAAUACAGGAUGGUAUUGAUCUUUUUGAGGAGUGGUGGUCUCCAAAAUUCCUUUUCUCACGUCGCAAGGGGUAAUAAGAUAGUGUGUGCAUAUUUAUUUUUCUUUUUUUCCAAUCUGAAACUCUUUUUGUCAUGCAUAUAGGAAAAAUCAUUUCAGAAUUAAUAAAAACAGAUAAAUCUGAACCAAAUGAAAUGGAACAUUACAUGCCUUAUGAUUAUGAGUUCUGUCGCACAUCAAAAAAUCCUCGCGCGCGGCAUUGGCUAGCAAUUUUUCUCUUUAUUGCGUUUGCUUUGAAUUCGUUCGUUGGAGUCGCCACCUAGUAAUUCAUUGAGGGUUACUAGGAAACCUAAUGUACUGGUCUUGUCAGAGAUCGCGGGUAAGGGACUGGUUGUGAUUAAGGAAGGUAUUAGCACCCCUAAUGCACCCUACCUGAGAUAAGCUGCUUUGUGUUCUGAUGUGAUUUGAAAAUUUAAAAUAUUAAUUAAAUUCUAAGGCUUGAAUAAAUCAGUUAUUAAAUCCCCGAAUAUAUGUAAAAACUUGUUCUUACAUUUUCGUGGAAAAUACAACUUGAUUUUAUUUGUCCUUGAGAUAUUUAACCAUAUUUAAAUUAACAAUUAAUUCUUUUUGUCCUUUUUUUUUAUUUUUUAUAAUUCAAUAACAUAAAUAAAAAAAAACAAACACACACACAACUUUCUUUAUUAUUAUUUAUUUUUCUUUUCUUUUUUUUUCUUCUUUUUUUUUCAUUUACAUUCACCUUCACACAAAAUAAAUUCAAAAACAAAUAAAUACAAAUUACAUUAAUUAAUUUAAAUUUUACAAAACAGUCCCUAAAACAGUGUUUUAAGACCCGGCCCGGCCCGGCCUGGCGGGUCGACCCGUGACCCAAGCGACUCGGGCCUGUGGCCGGCCCGGGUGAAGGCCAAAACCCGCUUGGGAAUUGGCCCGGCCAGACCUGGUCGACCCGGCCGGCCCGGCCAGACCCGGCUGAGACCCGGCCAUUUUUUUUUUUUUUUUCCCUGUCAUUAAACGACGUCGUUUUUAUGACUUAACAUCUUAACCUAAUUAUGUUACUCUGCCUUUGAAAACUGAACGGAGCAGAAGGGGUGACUUGGUCUGUUCACCGGCCUGGUGCUAUAUUUGGGUUUUCACCUCAUAGCUUGAUGAAUAUCAUUGUGACUAUUUCUGUUUACGCUGCAAUAUGCAAGCACGAGGGAGUUUCGCUGAUCUUUCGUGGAUCGAAAGAGGCAUGGAAUGGUUACUCUAUAGCUUCUGAUGCAGAUCUGAUCGCAGAGCAUGAAAUUUGGGCGUGCGUGGAUCCUAAUGCACAAAAUGAAGCUUUUAAUAUCCAAAACGGGGAUCUGUUCAAAUGGAAGCAUUUGUGGACGGUUUUAGCAGAAGAGUUUGGGAUUGAAAAGUAUGGAUUUGAGGAGGGGGAGAGUAGUGUCACCUUUGCGGAGAAGAUGAAAGACAAGGGACCAGUGAGGGAGAAACAGCUACUACCUAACAAGCUGGAGCAAGUUGGGGGAUGGUGGUUUGCAGAUUUAAUGUUCAGCAGAACGGGUUCUGUCCUUUGUUUGAAUAAGAGCAAGGAACAUGGAUUUUUGGGAUUUCGCAAUUCCAAGAAAUCAUUCGUUUCGUGGAUUGACAAGAUGAAAGCUUACAAGGUUAUGCCUUGACAUGGUUGGUUUUGGGUUUUGUUGCUGUAAUCUCUGUUUUCAAAAUAUAAUAAUUGGAGAGUGAUCAAGGCUUUGUGCUCCAUUGUAACUGGUGUUGUAAGGAGAUCCUCAUGUUUCUCCAGCAUUUCUGCCCUUGAAAUGGGUAACACCACAGAUCCGGCAGUUUACGUGUUGCAAUGAAUGAGCUCUCCAAGCUCAAAGACUACCCCGAUGUGUGUGUGUGUUUUUUUUUAUACAUAUAGUUUUUUGGGUUGACCCGGGUUAACCCGGGUCAACCCAUCUGACCCGUGACCCGAUCACUUGACCGGGUCAAUGACCGGGUCGGAUUUCAAAACUAUGCCCUAAAAGUCUAGAAAUUGCAUUGAAGGACACUGCCAGAACUGCCUGAAAUCGUGGCGGCGCGUCUUCCCAUGCGCCACCGUCACUGGCGGCGCGUGGGUUCACGCGCCGCCACUGGAAAAGUCCAGCAAGCAAGGGUUCGGUCACAGCUUCCACUCUUCACCGGCGAUGACACUGUGACCUGCAAAACAACAAGAAAAAAACGCAACAACACAGUCGAUUCUCUCCUUAGAUCUGUUUAGAUCUGUUUCUCUCGUUCUUCUUCGGUGCUGGAUCUGGCAGUCGCUCCGUGGCGGUUGAAGCUAUUGUUCGGCCGGCUUCGUUGCCGAGGGAGAUGAAGAAGACAACGGGGUUGCUGCUGCGUUUGGUGGAGGAGCUGCUGCGAUUUUGUCUGGGCGAGGAAGAAGGGUAGAUCGGGGGGAGUUCUAGUGACCAAAGCUGGAGGAGGGCUGCUGCUGACCGGUUGAAGGAGAGGACGAAAGUGUUGCCCCGGCGCUGCUGUUCGGCCGCCGUUGGGAGAGGAAAUCGAAGGGGGAGCAGCCGUGGCUGAUGGCGAAGGAGAAGCUGUUGCUGGAGGUUUGGGGUUCGGUGGACGCCGGUUUAGCCGCUGGUUUGUGUGCGGCUGAAGAAGGCGUUGUUGAUGGCUGAGAGGAGCGGAUCAGCGUUGUUGUGGUGGACGGCGUUGCUUCACCAUUGCUGUUGAGGGAGGAGAACCGGGGAAGACGGAAAUGACCGACUGGGAGAGGAGGAAGUAAAGUUCAAAACCGGUGGAGGGGCCGGCUGUGUUUUUGGGUUUGAGGGGAGAUGGGUGGCUCAAGGUUGAAGAUGGGGAUGGUCUGGAAAUGGGGGGAAAAAUUAAGUCGGGGAAGGGGGCUGGUUCCGGUGUGUAGAAGAAAAAUAAUUCAGGGGGAUUUGGGGGGCUGUUUGGCCGGAGUGAAAAAAAAAAAACAAAGGGUAGGGGAGGCGGUUGUGAUUGAGUUUUUUAGGGUUUUUUGUGGUUUAGGGUUUUUUUUUGUUGUAUUUUCUGGUGUUUCCAAAAUUAACCCCCCCUUGAAUGUGUUGAGGAAACCAGUAUUUAUAAGCAAAAUGUUGCUAGGUUUUUCAACUUGGUCCCUCAACUUCUUUCUUGUUUUGUAAAUUUUGAUUUUUCUUAUUUUUUUGUAUUUUUUGAAAACGAGCAAUAUCAACGUCGACUCAAUGAGAAAAAUCACUGAUUUUAAAAAUGUCGCGUGAAAAGUCGAACGCGUUUGAAAAUCUUUUGAAAAUUUAAAUUCUUUUUUUAGACGACGCUGAAAAUGCUAAAAUGACGAGAAAAUAUUAAAAAAACAUAUUUUUUUUGGAUUGUCAAUGUUUUUCUCUAUUUUUUUAUUUUUUUGAAAAUAUAUCAAAAACAUGGGUCAAAAAUUGGGUAGCAACAAGUUCUAUAAGGAAUCUAUCGUUAAAAGAAUAAUAAUAACAUUUGUAAGUAAUCAUUUUUCUCCAUUUUUUUUUAUAUAUAAUCAAUAAUAUAUAUAAAAAAUAUGAUAAUUUUAGCGCCAGUAAGAGUCUGAUAAACUAGAGUUAAAAGUCACAGAAAUAGAUAUAUACAAACAUUAACGAGGAAUUGAAAAACAAAAAAAAGACAGCAACAAAAGAUAAAAGAUAUAUAAACCAAGGGGUGUUUGAUAAUAUGUUUGCGGUUAUUUUUUAAAGUGUUUUUUUACUUGAAAAUACAUUAAAAUAGUAUUAUUUUUAUUUUAAAAAAAAUUAAUUUUAACAUAUCAUAAUAAAAUGAUUUGAAAACACAUAAAAAAAUAUUAAUUUUAAAAAAAAUUAUUCACAAGUAUUUUUAAAAUACAAAAAUAAUAAACUUCCAUUAUUAGUAUAUUAUUGCCGUGCAUUCAUGAGAAGAAAGGAAACUAAAAAGGUGUUUGUGAAUUAUGCUUGAAUUGUGGAUAAAUGAAAUAGAAAUAAAACUAUUAUGGAUUGGGAAAGACGAAUCUGUUCAUGAUGAUAAAAUAGCUUUGGAUAACCCAACUUUUUCCGAAAGAGGAAGGAGAAAUGAGCAACUUGGUUUUCUGACCUGUCUCUACACUUGAAGGAAUCCUUCAACUUUUUUUUUUCUUCAUUCGAACUUUUCUUGACAUUUUUUUUUUGGAUUCGAGAAAACCUCGCCUUUCUAGAAAGCGUAUUUUGUGGGUGCAGGUGAGUGAGUAAAAUUCCGGUUGUCCCAAGCUCUUACAAGAUGUGCACGCUCUGACUCGAACUCGAGAUUAAAAGAAAGAAUGAGAAUAUAUAUAUAUAUAUAUAUAUAGGAUCGAUGAGAUUGAUCGAUCUUUUUGAGGAGUGGUGGUCUCUAAAAUUCCUUAUCUCGUUCCUGAAGGGACAAUAAGAUAGUGUGUGCAUAUUUAAUUUUCUUUACCAUGAAGCUACAGUAGCUUGCGAUUCAUGGUUUUUCUGGUUUCUCCGGGCAGUCAAAGCCUGCAGAUAAAGAUGGUUGCAGAACCUCCGAGACAGGGAGAAAUAAAAAAUAAAUAAAUAGGGGAACGGUGAUCCACAAAGUACAAAGUAAAGAAUCGUUCUCGUAGUACUGACCAUCAACUAAAAGCAAUUAUGUUUCGGAAAAGAAAUAUAUAAGAAAUUAAUUAGUCACUGUUUCUUUGCGUCUUACAUCUUUUUUCCAAUCUGAAAUUCAUAGGGAAAGUCAUUUCAGAAUUAUUACUAAAUUUAUCUGGACAAAAUUUUAUUUAGAUAUGGAAUAAAUUGAAGGCAUCAACUUUAAUGUUAAAAUUUGUUUUCUUGUAAAAAAUUUAAGAGUAGAUCUUAAUUGUAAAUUAUUAAUAAGACACAGAAUUUAACAUAGGUUAAUUUUGUAAUGUGGAUUUUUUUAUAGUCAUAUUUUAUAAAUAUAAUUGAUUUAAUCAUAUAUAUUUUUUAAAAUAAUUUUUUAUUAUUAUAAUGUCAUGUGAGAGACAAUUUGGUAUUUGAUCAAUUAUAAAAAAAAAAUUAGCAAUUACAAAGCCUAGUAAAACAAUCAAAAUGUUAUUCAAAGUAAAAAAAAUUUAAAACUAGAGUCAAUGAGCUUUUUCAUCUUUUUACAAUGGUUUCUUCAUUAUUAUUAAGUCAACUUAUAAACAAUUGUAUGUGUAUAAGGACAAACACAUGUAUGGCACCAGAAGAAGCGUGGAUUGCACUCCUAUCCUUCUAGUUGCAUGUGCGGCAUCUCUCGAAGUCCAAAAAUGCUCUUUCUGUUGUGUUGUUUGCCAUGUCGUCUUCUAUGUGGAACGGUGCAUGUCGGCAUUAACAGUCCAGUUUGUCAUCGAUGGGUCUUUUUUUUUUUUUUUUUCUCUUUUCUUUCUUGAAAAUUACAGCUUGACCCUCUUUGUUGUUGGUAUUUCAGCUCCAGUCCUUAUUUUUUUUAUUUUUAAUUUUUGUUCUUAUCCUAUUAGUAUAAGUUUUUUUGUUUGCAAUUUUAUCUUUCCAUCCUAAUUUACCAAAUAUUAUAUUUUCCAAUUUGGUAUUCAUUCUUUUGAUUUUAAAUUUUUUUCCUUGGGCUUUUUGUAAAAAUUUUAUUGAUUUUUAAUUUCAUCCUUUAAUUCAAAUUGAUAGUAUUAUGUUUUUCAAUUUAGUUCUCAUCGUUUUGAUUUCUUUUUUUUUCUUGAUCAUUUUGUAAAAGUUAUUAUUUUUCUCAACUUCACCCUUCAAUUAAAAUCUUGUUUUUAUUUUUUUUGUCCUUUUGCUAAAUAAAUUUUACUUGUAAAUUCUACCCUUCAAUCAAAUAUAAAUUUUUUUUUUUAUUUCAGUUUUGAUCAUCAUUAUUUUAAUUGCUAUUUUUUCAAUCCUUUUGUAUAAUUGAUUUUUUUUUAAUUUUUUCCUUCAAUAUUUGAUUGAUUAGGAAUUAGAUUUGUCUUUUGGCAUCCAAUAUUGAAGAGGAUGUCUACUAGAGUAGACACCUAGAUAUGGAUUUUUGCAUUGGAAUGCAAUCAUGAAUAGGAUGCCUAUAAAUAGUAGACAAGUUAGGAUGGGAAGAAAUGUAAAUCCAUCAUGUGUGAUGUUAACCAAGCAGUUGCACCAAGAGAACCAAUGACUAAAUGAUUUCGGCAGGUUAAGGGUUUGCAUGUAGGAUUUCAAGGAGCAGAAAAGUUAACAAUUUGUAUGAUUCAGUACCUGCAAACUUGACUCAUUUGAUAAAUGAAGCUUCUCAUUCAUAAUUUAACUUUGUUGUUGGUUUUGCAAAAAGCUAGAAGUCAUGGCAUGCCUGGUGAGCAUGUUUUGAUAUAAAAUGUAAAUUGCAUAUGCAAAAAGCCAAAAGCUAGGACAUUCUAGUGAGCAUGUCAAAUAUAGAAUGUAAACUGCAUUCUACCUUUAUCCUUCCCUGAAACAAGGUAUUUGAUGUGGAACAAUAAACAAAAAACUUAAAUCAUAAAUGAAAUAAGCUUUUAGAGAAAUAAGAAAGCAAAGGAAAAGAAGAAUAGGGGUUGGAGAUAUGCAAAAUUUGUAAUAUUUUUAAUUAAUCAUCAAAACUCUCAUAACAUUUAGAAAAGUAGAAUAUAAAUCCUAAAACCCUAAUUAGAAUAAGUUAUUAGGCUUAUGACCCACUAAAUAAAAUACCCAACAAUACUUAAAUCAAACCCAAUAAAUAGAAGCUUAAUAAAUAAACCUCAACUAAAAGUUCAUAUAAAUUAAACUAAAAUAUAAACUAAAGCCCAAUCUCUCAAUGGAUUGAGUUAUUCUCCAUCAUAUAUGAUUAUAUACGUGCGUAAACAAUGUUUCGGGUUCAGUGUCCCAACCAAUUCUUUUAGGAUUGGAAGAACUUGACCCCGUCGAGUAUAGGUUAGGGUGACUCUGAUAACACUCUCAAAGAUAAGGAUCAAGCUGGUGUGAUGUCUCUUUGAUAAUCCAAGUAUACUCUGAAUCUAGUCAUCAAGCUCAUAUACUGGGAUUUGCUGAAGUUGACCCUCCCUAGUAAAAAUAAUUUGUGCAUUCAAAGUAGCAUUAAUAUGUUCCUUUUGUGCCAAAAAUAUGGAUAAUAAGGUAGGGGUAUCAAAAAGAGCAUCAGGGAUAAGUUGUGUUUUAUAAAUAAUGAGGUCAUUUAUGUUAAAAGUAGAGUUAAUAUCAAAGUUUGAUGGCAAUUUCAUGAUAUAAUUAUUUGAUUCAAUCAUUUGCAACACUUUAAAUGGUCUAGCACUACUUAUUUGCAAUUUAUGAUUGGUUUCCAAAGGACACUGUUCAGGUCCAAUUUGUAUCAUGAAAUAAUCUCUAACAUUAAGUGCAUCAUGAUAUUUAAGUAAAUCAGUUCUAAAUUUGUAUUGAUCAUUACUUACUUGAAUUUGUUUCAUGAUCUCAACAUGCAAAUUAUGAACUCUACAUGCUAACAACUCAGCUGACUUAGACAUCUUAUCAUGAGGAGAUAUGAGAAGGUGUUUUAUAGGCUUCUCAGGUUUUCUAACUAUGAACACUAAGUGAUUAGGGGUUUGGAAUGAGAAAAACAUUGUUUGAAACCUGUGUAGAUAUGGUAUGGACACAACCAAGUAAACUAGGAUUAUCUUCACCUUCCUCAUCAUGUGCAUAAGGUAAGGGGCUAGAAAGCUCAACAUGUUGCUCUUAACCUAUGAUGUUUUGGACACUAAGCAUGUGGGUGAGGAAUCAGGUAGUUUACGAGGACUAAUAUCAUGAGACUCUUUUAAGACCAUACUUACCUUUUUAGGCAAUUCCACCGAAGAGUUUCCUAAACAUUCCUCUACCAUUAAAGUAGACAUACCAGACUCUUUCUUAACCUUAUUCUUAAGCUCACGUAGACUCACUGUGUUAAGCCCCUCUUCUUAUCUGUCAUCUAAGUCACUAAAAUCCUUAAGAUUAGGCUUAUACACUUCAACACUACAAUCUUUCUCUUUACCUAUAUCCUUAUAUUUUUGGAUGACUAAGGGUUUAGAGGUGCAAUCUAAGAAGAUAUGACCAAAACCUAGACAAUUAGUACACUGAACUCUUGAACUCAUCAUAGACACUUCAUUGACAACUCGUUUGUCCUUAUCUUUCUUAUAAAGUUGGGCACUACAAGGAUUAGGUCUGUGGGGUGGAGCACCUAACAAAGAAUCACUACUUCUGAAUUGGGACCUAGUAAGUAUACUAUAAGGGUCCUGAUUUCAUCCAUUAAUUCUUCAUAACCAACUUGUAGUCUUGAACUAAGGUACAAGCUUUGUUAAAGGUAGAUACACCUUGAAAUACAACUUCUCUUCUAAGAUCAUCAUUCAAGUCUUUACAAAAUCUACGCACAGUCAUGGCUUCAUUCUCUCUUAUGGCACAUCUCAUCAUGUAAUCGUUAAACUGUGUUAUAUACUCAUUGAUAGAAUUAUUCCCUUGCUUAGAUUGUUCCAUUGGUCUAAGAUCUUAUUCCUAUAAGAUUGGGGGUAGGUAUUUCACCUGAAGAUUUUGUUUCAUUUUGAUCCAAUUAGUUAUAUGAGGUUUACCUCUCAUCUCUAAACAAUACUUAACAUCUCUCUAAUAAAUUUUGGCUUCACCAAUGAGCAUCAUCUUAGCAAAUCUAACUUUUUUAUUAUCAUACAAGUUAUGUCACUCAAAGAAUUGAUCCACAUCACGAAUCUACAUAUCAAGUAUUAAAAGGGUCAUAACGACCGUAAAAAAUAGAGGCUUCUAUUUUGUUAGGACUCAUGACACAUGUAACACUCACUUAGAAAUGAAAUUGAGAUCAUAAAAUCUAUCUGGCAAGUGAAAUCACAAAACAAAAAUAAAGCUAAUCCCAUUUUUUUUAUGUGAAGAUUAAUCAAAUAAUGGUCACAACUUUUCACUAGUUUCAGUAAGCUCAUCAACUAGUUGCUAAAUAUCAAUAAAGAAAGAGGUUAAUAAGCAAGAGUUAACAGAUAAAAAUGCAAGAAGAGAUAUUUUUUUUAUUUUUUUUUAGGCACAAAAGUAAUAUUAUCAACAACUUUAAAUAACAAGUGCAAUGCUAAAAUAGUAAAGACGAUUUAAUAUGGCUGUUGGUUUGAUCUGCUGAACUAUUAUGAUGGCAUGGCAUGGCUGAAGCAUUAGAGGGGAUGUGCUGGACUGGGUUUGUGGUGGCUGAUUAUGUGACAGUGCUUGCUGACUUGGCACUGACUAGGCUGAUGACAUGGAAAUGUUAAUUAUUUUGCCUUGAGAGCUUCUGUUUCCUUGCUUCCUUGCCUUCUGUAAUUUGUUGUCGCUGCUAACGGCGAUGACAUUGUGGACAGUGGCAGAUGAAGAUUUGUUGCGCUGUCUGGCUUUGCUACGAUGAACCACGAAUCAGUGUUGGCCGUGAUGGGUUUUGUGGGUGGCUGGUGGAUGAGCUGUUAUAGAUUCUGAUUUGCUGUUGUGGAGCCACUGCACAGGCUGUUGUGGAGGCCAAUCUGUUAUUGCAGAUGAAUAGUUUUUUUUUUUUUUUAAUGAGAGCAGUACGAUGCUUUCUUUUUUUUUAAAGAUCAAACCAGAUCUAGGGUUAGGUUAUGAAUAAGCAUAAGCAUGUAGAUCAUUUAAUUGUAAGAACAAUUAAAAUCCUGACUCUAAUACCAAAUUUAUUUAAUGCAGGACAAUAAACAAAAAACUUAAAGCAUGAAAAGAAAAAAGAUUUUAGAGAAAUAAAAAAGCAAAGGAAGAGAAGAAUGUGGAUUAAAGAUAUGCAAAGUCUGUAAUAUUUUUAAUUAAUCAUCAAAACUCCCAUAACAUUUAGAAAAGUAUAAUAUAAAUAUUAAAACCCUAACUAGAACAAGUGAUUUGGCUUAUGACCCACUAAAUAAAAUACCCAACAAUAAAUAAAUCAAACCCAAUAAAUAAAGUUUAAUUAAUAAACCUUAACUAAAAAUUCAUAUAAAUUAAACUAAAACAGAAAUUAAAACCCAAUCUCUUAAUAGUUUGAGCUAUUAUUCAUCGUCUAUAAUCAUAUAUAUGUGUAAACAAUAUAUCGGGUUUGAUAUCCCCACCAGUAUCGACAAGUUUUUAAGUGCAUAAACUGCUUGUCGCCAUAAAAAAAUAAAGAAAAUGAAAUCAUGAACCUACAAUCCAGCUUAUACAAACAAGCCUUUGGCUGAACAUAACAAAAAAAAAAAAGGCAUCUACAAGUCAACAUGAUAAGGCAUAGCCUACGCACCAUCAACCGAUCAUAACGUAAUAACUGAAAUCAUUUAGAGAAAACAUACCUAAAUGAAUUGUCCAGAUGCUGCUGUAAUUAUGGUACUCUACUGAAUAAAGUAUAGACAACAAAACCAACAGGUUCAAGCCCAAAUUAACUUGUGCAAGGUUCGCAAGAAAAUGAUUUCACAGUUUGUUGAGCCUCUGGGGAGCAUCAAUAUCUCCUGCUGCUUCGACAAACCACCCCAAAUAUACAUCUCCAAAACUGAUGAAACAUCAAGCAAAACCUUGAUCAAAUACAACUCCUUUUCAGUUGCUGCAAAUCUCCAGAUUUUAAUGGUUUUAGCUGUGUCAAUAAACAAGGAGGUACUGGAUCCAAUUCGGAGUUUUUUUUUCUUCAUAUUUUUCAGGCAAGGGAGUAUCCUACAAAUCAAAAUAUAUUUCAGCAUCAAUAACCAAAGAAAAUACCUUUCAGCAAUAAGAAAACAUAAUAGGUGGUUAGAAAAAGGUACUGUUCCAAAAUCAAGACAAUCAAGGUGAGGCAAAUUAUGAAGUAACCUCUGCAGUGCGCCAUAAUCAAAAUUCAUAGUUCCAUAACCAAAUUUAAGAAGAUUCAGUUUGUGAAACACUGGCAGAUGGGGGUAUAAUUCUUCUGCACGAGUGAGAAUCUAGAAACAUGAUAAUGGAAGUGAGCAAUGGAAACAAACUUUUGACAGAAGAAGAAGAAAAAAACUAAACAUCAUAUGUUCCAUGAACUCAACAUAUCUAAUUAACAGCAGUAAGCUUGAUGACUACAAGUUCUCGAUUACAACUUAAUUGGAAACAUUUAUACCUCCAAUGCAACAGGUGAUACUGUCAAGCUUUCAACACUAGAGAACCCCUUAUGAAGCUUGCGCACGUGAUAAGCAGCUUCCCUUUGUUUUCCAUCCCACUCACACUGUCACUGAUCUCAAAUCCAUACGUCCAUUAACCAGUGAGGAUGAAUAUAAGCAAACAUCUGUUUUGAGUUCACUGCUGUAGGAAAAGAAUUUGAGAUUUGUUCUACAAGUCACAACUAGACAAUCAUUUGGACCGCCGUCAUCCCAUGUAAGAUCACAUAUAGAUAAGAAUUUGAGCAUAGGAGAAGAAAUAAAAAAAACUUCUCAUCCUUCCAUGUGCAUUCAUCAAGAGUCAGCUUGCGCAAAUUCAGGCAACCAUCAAAGAGCUGUGUUGAGUGAUCAUCCACAAAUGUAAUAAAUGACAAUUUCAACUCCUUGAGAUUGGGAAGGCAUAUGGUUGAAAGAAGUUUAAGAUCAUGAAAUAGGUAUAGUUCCAAUACAGUUAAUGACUGAAAAGUAAAUAGACAAUGAGGUAAUAAUGACUCGUUUGCAUUGUAUUGGUAAAGGUCAAGUUUCAAUUCUUGAAAUUUGCAACACAGUGCAGCAAUUAUCCAUGUAUUAAUGUGAGAUGCAUCAGAGUGCACAUCACAUGAAGGGAGAAGUUCCUUAUAUCUGAGAAAUUACAAAGCAUCAUAACUCUUUCGACAAAAUUCAUGAAAUGCACCCUGUCACCAAAUAUGCUUUCUUCUUCGAAGUCCAGAUUGGGGACCGACAUCCAUAGCUUUUUCCAUCUUUUAGAUAAUAUGCUAUGACAACAUCUUUCAUUGGGAGGAAAGAGGAAUAACAUCUGGUAUUCUGAUUAAAUUCCUUCCCUCUUCUGUUUCCAGCUUCUGGCUUUUGCCACAGAUUACUUGAGCACUUGCAUCCAUGAUUCUGUUGACUUACUAAAGUACACAAAAUAAGGAGCUUAGAAAGAUCACCGGAAAUUAAAUCAAACAGUUAAUUAAGAAAUGAAAGCUCUGUGCAUUCUGUUAAUUGUUUUCCUAUUUACAAGUUCCACAAGCAGCAACAAGCUUAUUUUGAGAAAAUUAACAAAGGUCAACAAAUAAAAAUCCAACAGAAUUGUUCCAUCCACUAAAACAACAAACAAAUGGUCUCAAACCCAGUUUUAAAAUUUCCCAUUUUCCUCCAAUUUCAUUUCUUUAUCCCAAUACACAGAAUACUAUGAUCAGUCCUCCAAGACUACAACUUCUAAGCUACACUCUUUUCUCCAUGAUAAUCAAUAAUUAUAAUGAUAGAAUAUGUAUCAUAAUCAUUAUCAAUACAAAGGGUUUUUCUCAUUGGAAAACAAAUAAUUAAAUUUUUGCGAUCAUUUUAAACCCAGUCUGAAAUUUUCCCAUAUUCUUUCAAUUUCAUGUCUUCACCCCAAUACACAAGGUUCUUAUCUACGAUCACUGAAAAGUACAACUUUCAGCAAAUAUCUUUGUUUCUUCUUGGGAAACAUCAUAAUCAUUAAUCACAUCAAAACUUAGAAUUCAAAAACUAACUCCAGUUUCCUAGUGAAACUUCAUAGUUAAAGACACGGAAAAUUGGAUAUAAAAUGAACUGACUGAGCAAACUUUAACAGCUUCUAGAUAUACAUAGAGAAAGCCAUAAAGCUAAUUAAACUACAAAAUUCCAUAAGAACAUACAAAAAUGAAUAUUUCUAUAAUCAACCUUUUCUAUCAACAGAAAUUCUGAACUAGAAACAAACUUCAAUAGUUACAAGCUUGCAUGUCUGUUUAGGCCAACAAUCAAAGUUUUACUUUGUAGGCAAGGACUAGUACUUCAGAUGAUUUUGGUUGCAAUGGUACCAAUUUGACCCGCGAAACAUCCAAGUAAAAGCAGGGUGAUUUGUUUAUCAAAGCUGAAUUCAAAAUUCAGCAUGUUUGGUAGAGAUAAGUUACUAAAAAAUGUUUGGAAAAAAAUCUUAACAGGCUAAAAUGUUGAAAAAAAUUACUUCCAACCAUGCUUAUUAUUUUGAAGUCAAUUGUAAUUUACACACAUGUAGUUUUAAAUAGCAAGGCAAUUUUUGGUUUUAAGGAUCCACUUACAUGAACUAAGUACGUUGGUGGCGCCCACAGCCCUGGUUGCAAAUGUAAAAUGCAAGCAGAUCAUACAUGGUUUUUUUAAAAAAAAUAUUUAUAUUUGGUUUUUAUACCAAACAGCCAUGUAGACAAGUUUGUGAGGAUUGCAUUUUGUCAUGACUCAUGAGCAAAUACGAUAAAAAAAAAAAAAAUUGGAUUAAAGUUGUCUCAUGUGCGAAUAGUUACUAAACCCAACCAAGCCCAACAAGUCGACCUGGUGACCUGCCAACCCAGAGCCUAGCCCCUUUGAACUAGGUUGAAUGUUGACUCGGUCAAACCUAUAUGACUCGACAGAUCAACCCAUGACCUGGUUGACUCCAAUCGAACCUGAGUGAGACUUAGUUACAUCAAAUCCAAGGGUUUUUUUUUAAGUUUUGUCCAAAAUAACAUCAUUUUGGUUUUUACUUUUUUAAAAAUGAAACAACGACAUUUAAGGGUUGACUCGGCCAUCCCGCGACUUAGGCCUUGUGCCAAGAUAAUAUGUUAGUUUUGAGAACAUCUUUUGCAGGAAGGAAAGAUAAUAUAUGCAGAAGCAUUGUGCCUGGCAGAUUUUUUAUUAUGUCCUUUUCAUCAUCCAUGUUCUAAGCUUCUGGCUUUUGGCCUGACCACUUUCACUCAUGAUCCAGUUAAUUUGCUAAAGCAAAUAAAAUAAGGAAAUUAGCAAGAAUCAUAGUAGCUUGAUUUAUCUCAGUGAAUAUAUAUAUAUAUAUAUAUAAAAGAAAUUAGCAGGACAAUGAAAAUCGGAAGCACUAGCUAGGCACCACCGCUGCAAAUUUAAUCUAACCAAAUCAAAUUAUAGCAAGCUUACUUUGGGAAGACUACAACAUUAAUCAUAUAAAACUAGGUAAUACAAACUUCUACCAAUGACGAUUGGCUCAAACCAUAAAAUCAAAUUUAAUUCAAGAAUUUUUUCAUAAAAACUUGAAAAUUAUUCCUUGUACUCAGCAAAAGACUCCAAAUCUAAGAUAAUAUAUCUCUUUCCCAACUAGAAAAACAUAGCAAUAAGUAUCAAAAUUCAACCAACUACUAAAAAUUGCAAGAACCUAGGCAAAUCAUUCUAGCAAAACAUCAUAGUCAUAGAUACUAAAUAUGGAAAAACUUGAGAAGUUCAGUUGCAGGCUUACCUAAAAAAGAAGAGGGCAGCUUGAUUGCUCCUCAAUCCAGAAGAGUCGAUUAGAUUUUUUCCACCCCAAAUUCCAAAAGCUCUUUCUUUCUGUCACUAGAAGCGCAUGCUGCUGGAUACCUAUGUAUUUAUAGAAGGGUCAAAACUAGCACACGAUGCAAAAGUACAAAACCAACAAGGUCUUAACGUCUCGCAUGUAAACUUCAUUUUGGUCCCCUUAGAUUGACCGGUGAUCUAAUCCAACCCCUUUUAUUUAGAAUUUGUUAAUAUUAUCAUUCUAGUUUGAAAGAGAUUCUAAUAUUAUCCUUAAUCAUUAAAAACCAUACAUGAAUUUGGUUUUGGGUUUUUUUUUUAAAAGGUUUUUAAGUAGUUGUGUGAGAAAAAUAUAUAUGGCAUAUUUAGGGAGAAAAAUAAGAAGAAAUAAAAAAAAAGUAUUUAAAAAAGUAAGUUUCUUAAUUCCUUAAAUGAUUUUGAUUUUCUUUUAAUUUUAAGUUGUUAAUAACAUGAGUCGCAUUUUGUUUUUCCAUUCUCCUUUGUCCAAAAAAAAAAAACAAUCAUGUUUAACUUUCAAACAUAUUAAAAAUGUUAUUUUUCAUGUAUUUAGAAUAUCAUCAAUUAAUUUUAUUUAUACUUUUCUAAAAUAACCCCUUGUUAAUUGUAGUUUUUUUAAUAUAUGCUUUUAUUAAGGAUGUAAUAAUAAUAAUAAUAAUAAUAAAAGCAUUAGUUAUAAUUAUUUUGAAAUAUAUAAAAAUAAAAAGCCAAACAAUCUCUUUAUUUUUUCUUGAACUCACAUCAAAUGGUGGACACUUUAGUUUUAAAUGAGAAAUGCUUUGAUUUAAAUACUUAAUUGAAGAAUGUUACAAUAUAAGUAUUUAUUAAUGGCUUACUAUUAAGCCUAUCUCUUAAUAAUUUCACACAGAAACGAGUUAAUUAUAAAUUUAUAUUUGUUUAGCAAAAUUAAUCUGAUUAUAUUUAAUCAUGAUUAAUUAUAUUUAAUCCUUAUAAAUUUAUGAUGUAGUAUUUUCAUCAAUUUUAAAUAUAUAUUUUUUUAAUUUUAUUUAUCCAUCUCUCUUUUGAAUUAUAGAAUAAAGAAAUGAGAAGUAAGUGAGAUGAGAGAACUUGACUAGGAAAUAUGGCAAUUACCAAUUAAAAAAUGACUUAAUUUGGAUGGCCAAUGCUAAGACUAUAGGGACAAUUGAUUAGAUUAAUAAAGUAUAGGGACUAUAUUAAAACUAACUCCAUGAUAAGGAAAAAAAAAAAAGGAUACUAGCCAUAAAAAAAAUAAAAAUAAAGAAUCACACUAAUUUGUUUCCUCUAUUUCACACACACUCUCUCUCUCUCUAGAAAAUAAAAAUUUAAUGCUAUAACCCCUUAAAAUCCCCAAUUCAUAAACCCAAAUUCUCCACAUUCCUUUUCAAAUCUCUCUCUUAAUGGAAACAAAUGCAACCCACAAAACUCCUAAACCCUAAAGCCGCCACCAAGGCGGCUGCUGCGGCAGCCGUUACCACCACCAUGCCAAAUGAACUGCUGCCACAGAAACCAUCAGCAUCGUCAGUUCUUGACAAGUUCCGGUCUUUAUUGAAGCAACGACAAGGAUCAGCGGUGGAGGACCAUGGUGGUGGUGACGGGGCAAGUUUGCGUAUGGAGGAUGUGGUGGAGAUUUAUGAGACGGUUUUGAAUGAAUUGACGUUUAAUUCAAAACCUAUAAUUACUGAUUUGACUAUUAUUGCUGGAGAACAGCGGGAGCAUGGUGAGGGUAUUGCUGAUGUUCUCUGUGCCCGCAUUGUUGAGGUCUGUUUUUUAUUUCUCGCUUAUUGUUUUUUGAAUGUGUGGGAUUUUUUAGGGUUUUGUUCUUGAUAUUGAAUAAUGCUAGAGAUAAUGAUAAUUUUAGUAUAUUCUUGUAGUCUCAGAAUCGGUGAGGUGGUAUUGCUUAAUCUUGAAUUUUAGGGUUUAGUUAUUGGGAUGAGAAUAUUGCUAGUAUUGAUGAAUUUAUAAGUUAUGGCGUUGGUAAAAUGUGGGAGAAAUGGUGAGUUUUAGGGUUUAGUUAUUAAUAAAAGUGUUGUUGGUAUUGGUGUUUGUUGUUUUAAAUUGGUUUCUUUGAUGUUAUUCAUGGCGGGUUUAGUUGAAGGCGUAGGAGAGGGGAAUUUGUUGUAUUUUGUGGUUUGCAGAGGUUGUGUGUGUGUGUUAAGAGUUUUUGAAUGUUUGUAUUGGUUGGGAAAAUGUGAGAGAAUUAAGAAGUUAGAAUAAAAUUUAGUUGAGACAUAAAUUUUCAGCUUUGUUGGGCUGCAAAAUUGAAAGUCUUAGUUUUUUCCCCUACUUGUUAUUGCUUUUGUCUGUAUGUUCAAGUAGAAACAGUGGAAAGGAAAAACAAUUUGAAAUUUUACAGUGUUCAGAUUCCAGCUGCUUGGUUGAUGGUGUUGCUUCAAAUCUUGUUCUUUUUGUGUGUGUCUGUGGAUUUUAGGAAAUUACUUUUAAAAAACUCUCUUUUUUUCUGCAAUUUAUUUUGGUUGUAUUCAUUAGGUUUUUGAACCUUUUGAUUUCUCACUGUCAUGAAUUCGUUUUUUUGCAUGGUUACUUGUCUAGUUCCUUGGAUAAAUUUGGGUUAAGGAAAGAUAUUUUGAGUGUUGAAGUUAGGAAAGAUAUAUUAUGUAACUUUGAGAAACUGAAGACAGGAUUGACUGUCAAAUUUUUUGAAGUUAAGAGAAUUUUGAGACCAUUAUAUUCAUCUUCAUUGUGUUCUCCAAUUUAAAAGUUUGAACUUUUCUCCCUGUCUUAUCAUUUUUCCCUAUCUUAAAGAAAAUUGAGUUUAUAUAUUUAUGCCUUUUCUUUUCUAAAGGGAGGUCGUUUGUGUUUACUUUUAAUCCUUUGCAGGCCCCCGUAGAUCAAAAGCUGCCAUCAUUAUAUCUUCUAGAUAGCAUUGUCAAGAAUAUUGGCCGUGAAUACAUUAGGCACUUCUCGUCCCGUUUGCCUGAGGUGAGUUAAUCAGAGUACUGUGUUCUCUUCUCUUGCCAUCUUCGAUGCUUUAUAUUGCUUAUCCUGCAUGAUUGUGAUAUUUGUCACCUUGUCACCUCACCAGGUUUUUUGUGAGGCAUACAGACAAGUUGACCCUAGCUUAUAUCCUUCAAUGCGCCACCUUUUUGGCACAUGGUCCUCAGUGUUUCCAUCUUCUGUACUUCACAAGAUCGAGACUCAACUUCAUUUUUCUCCACAAGUUAAUGAUCAGUCAUCAAGCUUGACUUCCUUUAGAGCUUCUGAAUCACCCAGACCACCUCAUGGCAUACAUGUGAACCCAAAAUAUUUGCGUCAGCUGGAUCAUUCAACUGCAGAUAAUGUAAGGUUUCCAAUGAAAUCUCUGCCUCUCUGGUGCCUGCAGCUAUUAAUUUAUAGUCCUGCUGAUGAAACCAUGUACUUCUUGUUUUAGAAUCUUCACCUGGGAUUUUGUGGUUAAAAUACAGGUUCAGUUAUAUGGUCUUUCUAAUGGCCUGUUUAAACUUUAGAAUUUAAUUUUUAAGUAAAAUGAAUUCAUAGUGGAGUAUACAUAUACCAUGUUAAAUUGUCAUCAUUUUGAUGUUUCAAGGCUGAAAUAUCAGUGGAUAAAGAUGGCUUCUUGAUGCUAAACAUUGCAGUAGUAGACUGUGGAGAUCAAGAUGAGUCUUAAGCGAAGUAAAAGUUAUGCAAAAUAGCUCAUUGGAGCUUGUUUAUAUGUUGCAUCUCCCUUUAACCUAACAUUCUAAUGGCUCUCAACUAUUAUAACACUCAAAUGGAAAGCCUCUUAGUUGUUUUGCAACUUUGUGGAAUUUCUUCUGGGCUAAAUUCUUCCUAAUGUACUGCGCUGGUUCUCUAGUGUUUACUAUGUACAAAAUAAAUAAUUUGAUUGUAAGUUUAAUAAAUGAGCUCACAAGCUACAUUUUGAGAUUAUGUCAUAUUUUGUUGUUGAUUCUCUGUUGUGUGCUGUGUAAUGCAAUGUGCAUCUGUUUGCAUGCAGACAGGGUGGUCAAUACAAACAUACAAAGCUAAAAAUGUAAUUCAAUCUUUGCAGAAUGUUCAUCACACUAAGGGAACUUCUUCAAAUAUGAAAAUAUAUGGUAAAAAACCUGCUGUUGGAUAUGAUGAAUAUGAAAGUGAUCAAGCAGAGGCCAUAUCUUCACAGGUUGGAGUAGGCCGUACAUCUCUCACUCUUGGAUCUAAUAAGCUGCAACCAUCUUCAACUUCCAGGCUUGCAAGACGCUUGUCGCCUUCAACAACUGGAGCCGAGAGGCCUUUAUCUUCAGAAAUUGAUGACUUUGCAGUAGGGAAUUCUCCUCGAAGGUUUGUUGAGGGGCUGUCCCCAUCUCAUCCUCUAUUUGAUUAUGGACACAGCAGAGCCAUUGUCAGAGAUGAGGAGGCAAAUGAAUUAAGAAGAAAUAACUAUUCUGAUGAUAACCAUAACCGAUUUGAACCUUCUGCUAGAUAUAGGCUUAGCAAUGGACUUGAACAUCAAGGACCCAGAGCUUUAAUAGAUGCAUAUGGGGAUGAUAGGGGGAAAAGAACUACUAGUAAACCUCUGCAUAUUGAACAGUUAGCUGUAAAUGGCGUGCACAAUAAGGUAGCUUCAAGAUCAUGGCAGAAUACUGAAGAAGAGGAAUUUGAUUGGGAAGAUAUGAACCCUACUUUGUCAGAGCGUGGUAGGAGUAAUGAUUUCUUGCCAUCAUCUAUUCCACCUUUUGGAAGUGUUGUUCCAAGGCCUCCCUUUGGAAGGCUAAGUGCUAUCCAUGCAGAAUCUGAUAUCAGGAGCAAUCGAUCUAGUCUGGCUCCAAUGGCAUUUGUGGAUGGCUCCUCUAAUAUUGCUGAAGAAGCAGUCUCAAUUCUGGGUGUACGCUGUCUCAACUUGUUUCCUUAUGUGUUGCUGUUUAAGUUUAUUUACUUGUUCAUAUACUGUCCAAAAGCUAGGCUCUUGUUUGAUUCCAUUUACGUAUUUUGAUUUCUUUUCUAUAAUAAGGUGGUUAGUAUUUUUAAUGGAUUUGACUAGACUUUAUUUGAAAAUGAGUUUUUUUCCGUCCUCUUUACCUCCAUCUGGCAAUUCUCUUGCAAUUUGGCACCUUUUAGAGCUACUGCUGCAUUCUGUGUCAUAGUUCAAAUUAUUAAGUGAUGAUGAUUUGCAUUUCAAUUUAUUAUUUGUAUUGUCAGUUAACUCAUUAAGAAGAUACCCAGUUAAGUUAUCUUCAUGUGUUUUAUCUUUUCCCCUUGUUAUUUGUUUUAAGAAACAGUUGACUGUGUUGUUCAUUAACCAGGAAACAAGCUGUACAUUUUUUUCUUUCUGUUUUCAAUUAUGUUUUUGCGUAUCUUGGGAAAGAAAGUCAAGUUCAAACUUUGAUCUCAUGUCCAAAAGAAAUUGAUGUGCUUCCUGCAGUCUGGCCGUGGAUCAACAAGCAAGAUUCCUGGAUUCCGAACUGAGAGAAAUCAGAUCUUGGGUUCCCGUCAUCAUCAAGAAGCUUGGAAUUUUCCACCUCACAUCCAUCAGUCAGCACAUCUCCUGAAUUCUAAAGGAAGAGGACGGGAUUUCCAGAUGCCCUUAUCUGGAAGUGGUGUGUCUUCUUUGGGUGGUGAGAAUUACUCUCCACUUGCUGAAAAACUUCCAGAUAUUGAUGCACAGCUUAUUAGGCCUCCUGCCAUUGCAUCAAGAUGGGGCUCUAAUAUUGACUCUACUAGUUCAGGGACCUGGUCAAGUGUUGCGCCACCAUCCUCAGGGGUCUGGCCUCCAGUAAAUGCACGAAAGUCUCUGCCACCUCCUGUGCAUCGUAUUUUUCCUCCACCAGAGCAGAGUAGAAGUCAGUUUGAUCCAAUAAAUGCCAGCAGCACUGUCAUAAAUCAGGUUUUACAAAAGGGUUCAGUUAUGCCUGAACAACCAUUUAAUAGUUUUGAGAACAAAGAUUACAAUUCGAUGAAGCCAACACCAAUGUCUAAUCAGCAUGCUGCUUUGAAUCAGCAAAACCAGGCACAUGUAAAUCCUUUUCAGCCACAACAACUUCCAUCUCAUGAAGCCCGAGAGAAUUUUCAUCCAUCUGGGGUAACUUCAAUGCCACCUCGUCCCCUGGCACCACCACUGAGUCAUGGAUACAACACUCACGGGCAUAGCACUGCCACUAGUAUGGUUCCUUCAAAUGCAUUACCUGCUGUACAACUGCCUUUACCAGUCAACAAUAUUCCAAAUAUGUUGCAUUCACAGGUGGGGGUUCGGCCACCUUUGCCACCUGGUCCUCCUCCCCAAACGAUGCCUUUCCCUCAGAAUGCUAGUUCAGGUGUCCCCGGCCAACCAUCUGGCAGUGCAUUUUCGGGUUUGUUUAACUCUCUCAUGGCACAAGGUUUGAUCUCAUUGACAAAACAAACUCCUGUGCAGGUACUUGUUUGAAUAGCUUCUCCAUUCUUUCUUUCAAAGAAUGCAAUAUUAGCCUGAAAAUAACCUUGUGGCUCAAUAUGUAGGACUCUGUGGGACUUGAGUUCAAUGCUGACCUUCUCAAGCUGCGCUAUGAAUCUGCAAUCAGUGCAUUGUAUGGUGAUCUGCCAAGACAAUGCACAACAUGUGGCCUUCGGUUCAAGUGUCAAGAAGAGCACAGUACUCACAUGGAUUGGCAUGUUACUAAAAACCGGAUGUCUAAGAACCGGAAGCAGAAAUCUUCUCGCAACUGGUUUGUAAGUGCAAGUAUGUGGCUCAGUGGUGCAGAGGCAUUGGGAACUGAUGCAGCUCCUGGUUUUUUGCCCACUGAGACCACUGUGGAGAAUAAGGAUGAUGAUGAAAUGGCUGUUCCUGCUGAUGAAGAGCAGAGUACAUGUGCAUUAUGUGGAGAGCCUUUUGAUGAUUUCUACAGUGAUGAAACUGAGGAAUGGAUGUAUAGAGGAGCUGUCUACCUGAAUUCAUCUAAUGGAUCAACAGCAGGCAUGGAUAGGUCUCAGUUAGGUCCUAUAGUACAUGCUAAAUGCAGAUCCGAUUCUAGUGUGGUUCCCCCUGAAGAUUUUGGACAUGAUGAAGGGGUAUGCAUUUCUAUUUCUAUCUCCUGCUUUUAGCUUCUUUUGGUCAGAGCAUAAUUUAUCUUUUAUGUUUCUACUUGAAGUGUUCUUAUCUAUUGGUGUAUUUUUCAAUAAAAGUGCUAAUUGAAACACCAAAAACUUAAAUCAGUUGCAUUGAAUCAUGGCUAUACAAGUGUGACUUUGGUGGAAUGUUGGUUUUGUAUUAAACUACCUCCUUUUUUUUUAUCUUUUCUGUGCUCUUGCAAACAUGUGAUAUAUAUAUAUAUAUUCUGUUAGAUUAGGGUCUGUAUGGUUUGAAUUCUGUUAAAAACUUAUGAAAGCAUGUUAGCUUGUAUGUAAGUUGAAAGUUCAGUUGACUAAAUAUAUUAUCCAUGUUCCUUCACUUCCUUGCUCUUCAAUUUCUUUUGAUUUUCCAACUACCUUAGAUUUAUUUCUGAUUUAUCAUCUGCAGGGAAAUUCUGAAGAGGGUAAUCAAAGAAAAAGAAUGCGGAGUUAACCUUUAUUAGAUUGGCUUCCAAGUCUCAUGUAACUUUGAGUUUCAUCGUGUUAGUGGUAUGGCUUACUUGUUUUUAUAGUUGUGUUGGAGCUUGCAAUGCAUUGGCUCUUAGCCCAAAUCAUGUAAAUAUUACUUGGGCUUGUACCAUGCAUGAUAUCUUUGAAAAAAAGAUUAAAAAUUAUGUCUUUCUAACAUCCAGAAAGAUAUUUAGAACCAUCUUUUUAUUAUGCUAAAAGGAAAUGUUUUUAUUAGAUUUGCUGCUGGGUGCUUAAAAUGCUGAAAAGAAUGUGAUGUGGAAUGGACGAAUGGUAGCCUUUUAUUCCUAGGACACCCAGUAGAAUCUACUGUAAUUAUUAGCCUGCUGGGUUGUCUACUCUUUGCAGAUUGUUUUGAUUUUCUGCAGGGACUGCAAACAUCUCCAGUUGUCACAUUCAGUUUAUUCUCUUCAAGGCUGGAACGUCGCAUAAUAAGCUCAGUUCCUCCCAAAUUGAUGGAUUGGUGGCAGCAAAAGCACUCUUUGCCUUUUUCCUGGUGUUGAUUAUCUGUAUUUGUUGAAUUACAUCAUUUCUAUUUGAAGUAGAGUACUAAUGCUACUAUCUUAAAAUGUCCUUUCUGGAUGGUUUUUCUGAAAUGAUGCCAUAAGGAAUUUGCUUGAUAGCUGAUAUUAUGCUGUAUUCACUAGUUUGGGAUGGAUCUUUUGAGAUCACCUCUGGACUAUGCUUAUCAACUUCAAUUCGUUCUAUGGUUGGAUUUUUAUUUUUUUUAUCUUUUCUAAAUAAUAUUAGAUAUAUUUAAGGUUUUUUUUCUUGUGUCAUGGCUAUUUUUGCAGGUCAUAGUGUUGGGUGUAUUAAUUGGACACAAAUAAAAUAUGCUUAGAAAAAAAUAUGUAAUAGAUAUUUAAGACUUUGUCUGAUGGAUUUGAAUUGCUGAUAGAAUGUUUACUCGCCCUUGAAUAUUCGUACUGCCCUUGCUGAUAGAAAAACCCUUUUCUUUAAUAUAAAUAAUUUAUUUACGUAAAGAAGCAAUUCAUAAUUCAUCCACAUAGAGCAAAAGUUGAAUUAAUCUCUAUGGGUUGGUAAAAAAAAAAAAAAUCAACAAUUUCUCUUCCAGGAAAAAUCAACCAUGGCUGGCUGGCCACUGCUUAUAGAACAAUGAUAUAUAUAAUGAGCACAAAAUCAUGUCUGCCUUUUCGUCUUUUUCAGUUUCCCCCUUUGCAUAUAGAACAAUGAAUGAUAUCAUAUGAACACAAUAAUUUCGCCUUUAUCCAGCAGUGCUUUCCUUUUAUUAGCGUUUGUACAAUCAUUUGUCUAAGACCUUGUCUGUUUUUGCGUUCGAUUUUGUGGUAUUGAAUUGCUUUGUUGUGAACAAAUUUGGAUCUCAUGCUCAAGUAGUCACUCCACUUUUGCGACAAGAUGAAGGGAGGCAACGACUCAUGAUUCAACAUUCUCUGUAGAAUUUGGCAUAAGAAAUGGUUUUUGCUUUUCGGGUUUUCUUUGUGUAGUGGCUAAGUAUUUAUUUAUUUAUUUUUAGCUGUUGAUACGAAUUCGUGGAAAAACAUGGACGAAACUAGGUUAGUAAGUAAAAGUUGGAAAUGAAGGAAAAAUACUCUAUCUCACUCUGUAUUAAUUUUAUCUAAUAUAAAUUACUUUAUCUAUAUAAAUUAAAUCAUAUAUACUAAUUAAUGUAUCAUAUUAAAAGUGACAUGAUUUUAGUAUCUUAUUUCCAUUUCUCUGAAUAGAUUAUAUCAUAUUAAUUUUUACAUGAUUAAAUGAUAAAGUAGGAGGGGGCAUUAGCAAGUGAUUGGUUUCUCGUUCAUGGUAGUCAUGUCCUCGUCACUACGGACGAGCCAUGGUGGGUGUAAUUAGCUAAUGAGUAGGUGUAAAUGCAUGUUUGCUGACCAGAAAGAAACAAUGAAUAUUAAGUUCAAUAAAUUAAUGUAUAUAUUCAUUAACGUCGUCGUUGUUGUUAUUAAAUAAUUAUUAUCACAUCCAAUAUAUUAGAUGGCAUUAACUCCAAGAUAAAACCUGUGAUUGCAUGACUAUGAGAUUUAUACAAGGUCAAAGGCUAUAUAAACACUACUAGAUUAUUUAUUUGCGCUAUACUAUAAUUUAAAAUUGAUUUGAUCAACUUGUUAAAUUUAAAAACAAUUUAAAUAAUUUUUAAUUUAAAAUCAAAAUCACGCUGUUUUCACAUUUUGCAUGGCAAUUUUUCGUACCAUGCAUGGCUACAAGUUUGUCUUCGUGUGACAAACUUUUCAAGACAACCAUAUGCAUUAUAUCCCAGAUGACAUUAAUGUGGAAAUUUGAUGUAUGUUUUGGAAGAGAAAAUAAAUGAUGUAGAGAGUCACAAAGAGCUCCUACGGGUCACUAAAUGCUGUUGAGUGUGAAUGUAUUAUAAAUAUUUAAUUAUAUCGAUUGUUCUGCGAAUUAAUCAAUGUGUUUGUACAAUUUGUUUGUAACAAUUAAUGAUGUAAUGAAAUCUUUUUUUGUUUUGUUUAAUUUCAUCAAAUUAUGUUACUCUAAAUUCAGCAAAUGGCAUUCAAGCUGCAUCAAGCUUAACAAAUGAUAGCAGAACUGCCAUAAACUCAGCACUAACAUUACUCAACCAAAAUUAAUUAUGUUUGCUAGAAAACUUGAUGUGUUUCUAUUUAUGAAUCAAGAACGUGAUCUUUUGAUUUGGAACAUAAAAUUCAAGUCCCUCUUGUUUAAACUUGAAGGAAAAAAAACCAAAUCACAUCUCCAAGUCAUGAACAAAUCUAUGUCUUAAUCACUCAAUCUCACCAGUCACCCCACUCCAUAAAAGCUGACCAAACCCAGCUAGAUAACUUAAUUUCCCUUGUGAAGUUAAUUAAUUCUAUAAUUUGCUGUUUCAAUUCAAAAACUUAAAUUAUUAAAUGAGAUCUUAAGAUAUAAUUUAUAUUAUUUUUUAACAUAUCACUCAAGUGAAAGCCAUUUAAUUUUUAUCAAAUAAAUAAAUAAUAAAAUUCAAAUUCUUAAAUAAGUGGUUAUAGUUGAAACAAGAUUUGUGAUAAUUAAAUAGCUUACAUGAUUAGGUAGACACCUUUGUUAUUUAUAUGAUUAUGAUAGUACAUAUGUUACGGUGUAGUAUACUACACACUAUAAGUGAAUACAUCAAUAACAAAUCAAUAAUGUUGUGUUUUCUAUUCUAAAACACAUUUCACAAUACAAAGUAUUAAUAUUAUAUUAAAAAAUCAAUUCAAUUUAAAAAUUUAAACUAUUAAAUUUAAAUAAAAUCUUAAUAUAUAAUUUAUAUUAUGUUUUAAUAUUUAGUGAUUUACCUGUUGUCUUUCAAACUUCUUGUAUCUUCCUGAAAAUGUUAAUAAAAUUGUUUAGCUAGACCUUGUUUCUGCAUCCCGCAGAAAGAUUGCAUCAAUCUUAUCACUUACUAAUUGAUAUUUAGUGAGCUACGUGCUGUCUUUCAAAUUUCUUCUCUCUCCCCGACAAUGCUCAUAAAGUUCUUUAGCUGGACCGUGUUUCUUCGACAAAAUUAAUGGUCUCUGAAAUCUACAACGAUAUAGUUUCAAUGGAAGUAUUGUAGCUGAUGCAAUUAUUGUUUUUGGCAAUUCAAUAUUGUGGUGCCACUCAUGUUCUCUUUGAUUUUGCUUUGUUUUAGGGCCAAGCAAAUCUACAGGACUCAAAAAGAUAUGAAAUCAUCAAAAUGUUGAUUCUCAAGUCCGCAAACAGUGUUCUUCAUCAAUUGUGUAUCUGGGAUGCUGUUUGGAAGAGAAUUAAAUUUAGUAGGUAACCGUUUUAUUUUGUAUCUUCAAUAUCCCUUUUUAUUGAUUUCUCGAGGAAUAUAAAGGGAUUAGAGAGUUCGUAUAAAACCGUUCUUAAUUAGGAUCUUACCACCCCAUUUAAGCUUUAGAAUUGAGAAUUCUCCUGGAGUUGGCAAUAUUGUAUUGCUUAAGUUCCCCAGAGGUUCUUCCAAUACAAUUGUUAGUGCCUAGCUCCCGUCAUAUAUUAAUGUCAAAUUAAGGUCUAAUGAAAGUUCCUUUGGCUGCUUUUAUCUCUUAUGUUAAGAACUCAUAGUUGAUAAAUACCCUUUUUUUUUCUAGAGUUUGAGAUUGAACAAGUUAGAAGCCACCCAAUUCAAUCAUUGAUGCCUUGGAUUUGUCCUCCUUGAUAAUGAGAAAGAAGGAAGGAAGGGGACCGAUUCUAAUUAUCAAAACUGAGGCUGUCAUUUUUCAGACAGUGAUCGAUAAGUAGCAGUCUCAAACAGAAAGGAACAACUAUUCAAUAAGAAGCUACUGAAAAGUUCAACACAAAAUGAAACUAAUGUCUGUUAAAUGAGUAGUAGGCAAGCUCCUUCAUAACAGAUACGCAAAAGGAGACAAAUACAAAGUAACUCACACCUACAGGAACACUAAUCCUAGUCAACUCUAAAAGAUAAAGCAAAAGAUAUAUGAAAGCGAAAUUUUGUAACAUUUGUAACAAGUUCUGACUUCACUUUCAUCUUUGUCAGGCAAAGUCAAUACCCGAACCUACAACCCUUGCAGGGUGGUGAAAUGCCCUUUCACUAAUAGCUAGCUACUCUGCGUUAACAAACACCACCAAGCAAGGAUCAUCUUAGGUGCGUUCUUGACUUAAAUAUGGUUGAAAGCAUACUUCAUUUGUCUUGCUUCCUCUCCUCUUCCUAACUGCAACAACAAUCAUGAUUGAGCACAAAAAUGUUAGUUCUUCUGUAAUUUUGGCUACUUGUUAUGAAAUAAUUUCGCAAAAAUAUAGUUAACCAGAAGUUCCUAACAUUAUGUGAGGCUUUUCAAUCAGGCAUUGUCACAAAUUACUGCAGCCUUAAUCCUUUCAACUGUGCACUUAAUUAGACUGUUUACAGUUGCUACUGAUCCGAGCGAAAGUUUUGCUGUUGGGACUGAAUCAACUAAUAUCUGAAAUGCAACAGUCAGUAGAGAGCCACCGGACCCAACAUCAAGAAUUCCUGGAGAGCCAUAUCCUGGUCCAUCAGGGAGUAUAGCAAAACCUGAUGGAAGCAGGGCAACAUAAUCUGGGUCUCCACCGCUUAGGACUAUGUUCAUGGCCGAAAUGUCCACUGGUGCAUAAAUCACAUAUGAGCCUGUAGAAUCAGUACAGCUCUCUUGCAAUAUCAGCAUGUUGCUCUGGCUUGAAUUUGCGCUCUGCAAUUUAUAUGGUUGAUUUCAGCGAUGAUAUGAUUCUGAAAUAAGAUACGUGAACAGGAAAGGCUUGCUAGCACGCACACAAAAUCAUGUUUCGGAAACUUACAUUGACACGGAGUAAAGAGACGCAAUUUCCAGGAUCACGUCCAUUAGCUAUAUGAGCCAUUUCUUGAACUUCGCCGCCGUUCGAAAGGAUAUCCCACUGUAUGCAAAGAUAAAAGGUUUACAUAUUUGAAGAGCUUAAAACCUUGAAUUCUUUCAAGAAAUUAGGCUUGAAAGCUACAUGAUUUCAUGUACCUCACUUCGAUGAUUCUCAUCCCUAAGGAAAUCAAACAUCCUCUUGGAUUGAACUGGAAUCCAGAAGGAAGUGGCAGCACUAAGCACAAUACCAGGAGGCCUGCCUGGAUCAUCCAUACUCUUUCUGGUCAUUACUCUCACAUCAUCAGAACCAGUUGCGGACAAUGUCGUCCAUGCAUGUGCAGUAGAAGCACCAACUCCGGUGCAAAAACUCAUCACCAUUCUCUCGGCCAGCUUCAGCAUACUUUUCCUCCCUUCAGCAGUUGUUAUCACUAUCCAGAAGAACAAAGGUUGAUCAAGAUAAUAUGUCAUCCGGAAGAAAUCCAAAUGACUAAACUUUUUAAGCUCUAAGAAACUAAAGAAAAAAAAUCAAAAUCCAUUACCACAGAGAUCUCCAGUUGGAAUGUUAAUGGCCAUCGAGCUUGCAAGACGUUCGCAUUGUCGAUCUAGUGUUCCCACCCAACGUUUUGCUCCAAAAGCAAGACCAGAGUUGACUAGUGGUCUGUAUAUAUUUUGAAUAGAUCUAUCAUCCACUUCAAUGUGUUCAACCCAGACGACCUGUAGAAUCAUGAUACCAGGGUUAUAUGAUGAUUUUAACAAAACGUUUUGAAGGUCUCCCUAUUUGGUAAUGAAAGUGAGGCCUUGAAAGUGAUCAUAUUCAAGUAAGAGUUACUACCUUUGAAUAACCAUUUGGCAAUUCUUGGAUCAAGCAACCUGAUGGCCUUCUUCUACAUUUCGACAGCAGACUAGGGCGUAAACUGUCCAAGGAAACAUCUACCACUGCCCAAGUCCCAUCGGUAUGCUGUUUGCAGUACCUCACAAAGUAAUUUUCUCGUGUAGGAACAAUUGGGGAAGGUACUUGAAACUCAGCUGUCAUCUGUGAAAAGCAAUGAUAGGUAUGUUGAGAAGUCAAUGAACUAAAUGCAAAUGCUGAUCAUCUUGGUGUUGGUACUACUUCCUUCACAAAAAAGUCAUUAGAUCCAUAAUAAUAGAUUAAAGAAAUUGAAAAUUUGUUUAUACCACUUGUAAUGCUCCAUUAUAGUUCCCUGCCACUCCUGUUGAUAGGACUUCCAGGGUCAUUGCUCUUGAUACAAUACCACAGAAAAUAGUUGACCAUUGAUUCUGUAACAAAAAUUUUGAUCAACAUUAUAGUUAUUUGGAACUAAGAAAAAAUUCCGACUUCAAAGUCUCAGAAAUCGUUAAAUCAUUGAAUGGAGAUUUAGAGAAUAAAUAGAGAUAUAAUCCAUCCUAAUUCUGUAGCCAAGUCCCAACGAAUCAGCCGAAAAUAUCAUAAAUAGAUACAGAUCUAGGCGAACUUAAAAAGUAGAAAAACCUACCGCGUCCAUAAGAAUCUCAACAAGAUUAACAUGAUUCAUGAUAACAACUGCGGAUUCCCUUGAAGCUUCAGAUCUCAUUCCUAAAGGUUUUGGUCCAAUUCCCCUAGUGAAAGUUCUCAAAUAUUCCUCUUCAUUGAGUAUCUCAGUAUUGUUCUCUCCUUGAAUCCACAAGGGUUCUCCAGCCUGAGCCAUUCUCAUUAGUUCCUCCAUUGCUGCAACCGCGAUUUCGACUAUCAUUGAUUUGUCUGCCUCAGUAGGUCCAGUGACUGAUCUAAGAAGAUCAGUAGCUCCAAACAUCUCCCCUACGAAACCCGACUGUGCCCCAAAAUUGCUAGCUCCGAGAUCAAGAGACCGGGACGGUAAAUGAGGAGAAAGGUUGGAAAGAGAAGACAAAGGCUUGCCAACAUACUUGGCAGCAAUUCCAGAAAUCCUGUCAAUCUGUAACCACACAGGAGUUUUAUUAAAAACAAGUUGAAGGAUUACAAAAUUUGAAUUGAUAAGAGUAACAGAAGGUGUAGUUUUUGUAACCUCUUCUCUUAGACGAACAUUCUCAAUCCUCAAAUGCUGCUCAUCAAAGGACAUCUCACCAAGAGCAGCUGGACCACCACAAUUAGGGCAUGAAGCAUUACGUAGGGCUUCCUUGUACCUAUUGUUCUCCGCACGAAGUCUUUCAUUCUCAGCCUUAAGAAUUGAAUUCUCACUGCGUUCAUGUUGGGCCUACACAAUGGAAAGAAAGAUUAGCAAUAUAAGCUGCUCUUUAUUCUUAAACUAAAAAACUUUGCAAACAAAAAAAAUAGAGUUUAUUAAUAUUAUCAAAUAUUUUUUCUUACAUAUGAGCUUUAAUUAUUUGUAAUUAGAAAUAUAUAUAUCUCUAUGCUAACUAUCAAUACUUAUAUGUCGUAUAUGAAUAUGAAUAUCUUUCCUUCUUGUGUUUAUCUUUAUCAUAUGUCGUAAGUAUUACGACUAAAGUAUCUUAGGAUUUCUCGAGCUAUGUAAGGGAAAAAUCUUUUUUUGAAAGGAAAAAUAAAAUAUUUGUAACAUUAAUAAAUAUGGGAAGUUAUAUGCUUUCCUUUUUUUUUUUUUGGUAAUAGAGUUAUAUGCUUUCCUUAUUACAAUAUCUAUGAGAUUGGAGAGAGUGUAGAGGGUGCCUGAGAUGUAUCGGAUGAGUUACCUUCAUUUGAGUGCGCUUGUUUUGGAACCAAAAUUUGACUUGCAAUGGCUCUAAACCUAGCUCACGGCUGAGCUCCUUCCGUUGCUUGUCGUCAGGAUGAGGGCAUUCCUUGAAGAAACUAAGCAAACAAAGCUCAUAAAUAAAUCACCAAAAAUUUAAAACUACAAUAAAUAAAUAAAGCACGGUCUAUCUAUCCAUCAAUGCACAGUCGAUCGAAGUUAAGACGGAGACUGCUUACGCUUCCAUGUCCUGGAUUUGACGCUGUGUAUGGCGAUGAUAACGCUUCUUUUUGGGGUGUUGUUCACUGGGAUCUUGGUCAUCACCGGACUGACCUUCCAUAGUUUCGGUGCCCGAUUUGGUCUCAUAGUCAUCAUCUUUGAGCUUACUCGAGUCAUUUUCAGAGCUUUUGGGAGCCAUAUCAAACAUGUGAUGGCCUUCAAACAUAUUUGCGUGGAACAUUUGUAUAAUCCCUUAAAUUUUAAGCUAACCUGUACUUCCAAUCUGCAAAAAAAAAUAUCAUAAAUAAGCAAAUAAAAAAAGAAGAAUAAUCCUAAGGUAUGCCAUGUAAACAUGCUAAAGGGGUGAGUAAAUCAUGUGUACAAGGAAAGAAAAGUAUUAAAGGCUAUAUAUAUAGGAGAUGUUUGUAGAUAAGAAAUUAACAUCUAUAUGGAAAGAUUUAUUGAUAGGAAACAUUGAUGAAUUAUAAAAAAGAUUACAAGGAGGAAAAAAAGCAAAACCAAGUUACAUUCCCAACAUAAUAAAUGUUGUGUGAAAUUUGUAGGGCAAGGUGAAGUGUAUUCCACACUGUCGUAGCUGUAGUUACAAGAGAUGGCUAAUCACCAGAUAAGCAAGUUAACACCUUUUAUCCCUCUCUCUCUCUCUCUCUCUCUCUCUCUACUCAAAAAAAAAAAAAAGCGUUUUGCGUUCAUUCCAAGAAGGAUGUUGCUUGGAAACGUUUUAAUUACUUUGUUUAAGCAUAUUCAGUGAAUAAAAACACUUUUUAAGAACCUCAACCAAAGUGAGAGGGACCUUACCUGAUUGACUAACCUUAGAGGAUGAUUGAAAUCUGACAACCUUUUUCUCCUUUAAACUCCAUUACAGAAGGCAUAUCUUACUCUCACCAACAAACCCUAAGCAGCAUCCUUAUCUUUCUCUCUUUCUAUCUCUUGAGGGUAUGACAUGAUUGAUUUUCGUGCUUACGUUGGCGGUAUGUGGGGUUAGUUUGCGAAAUAGAUUCUCUCAAGCUGUUUGAGCAAAAGCAAAAAAAAAAAAAAAAAAAAAAAAGGUUAUUGCAAGUAGUAAGAGAGGAGGAUAUUGACUGUAGGGUGUUGGGGUCAUAACAUCAAAGAAAAGUCUCAAGUCCUUUCUAGUUUUACGUUCCAAAAGAUUAGAAUUAUAUAAAAAAAAACAAAUGAGCAUGAAGAGUUGACACUAAAUGGACCCCUUUCUGAAGCUUUGACAAAUAAAUUUCAACACACCAUUACCAAGACUAUAACGCCCACUAAGAUCUAGGUCAAUCCAUCCCACUUGACAUUUUCCAUUCCUGCACAAAAAAUUAUAAAAAACACCAUUUUUAUGUUUAGGAAAAAGAUGAGGACAUGAUAUAAAACUGAAAAUGAGAUAAUCUUAUUGUGAAGAGAAAUGAAAGGUUUUAUGGACAAGGUAUGCAACUUACCAAAAUAUAGAAGGCUUUGAAGUUCCAUGGAAACAAGGAUUAGAUUUGUGAUGGAAGAGGUUUUGGGUCUCUACAAAACCAGUUUUUAGGGAUAGAGAAGUGGUUUACUGGCUGGUUUUUGAAGAGAGACCCUAUGUUCUGAAAGGGUUUUAAGAUGACUGUAUGAUUAAACUAUGAUGGGAGAGAAAAGGGCACACACAGAGAGAGAAACGGAAGAGGAAAAGGAGGAGACAAAUUAUAAGGUUUUGAAGAAGCUGAGAAAGGAAAGAAGAAAGGGAACAGGUGGUGAGGAUGUGGCAGCAGAGGAGUAAUUGCAGAGCGUAUAGAGAGGGUUUGCUAGCAUUUAUGGUGGGAGAGAGGUGUAAAUGCGAGAGAGUGAGAAAGAGAUGAAAAGGAGCGAUCAUUAUUUCAUGUUUAAAUUUCCUCUUAGAAGUAUGGUGGUGUGAAUUACGGCUUCUUGGAUUCCAAAUUUCCACCAUUGUUGUUGCUUCACCAGUGCAAAAUUUAUGUAUGUAGAUGAUCAAUAUUCGUGUAUGAAAUCAUAAUUUCCUCAUGAUUUUGUGGUCUUGAUGCCUAGUUAGGAACAACAUGAUUAACGAAGAAAAAAAUAUGGCUAAAUUAUACACAAUCAAAUCAUAUAUAUAUAUAUAUAUAGUUUAUUUAUUUAUUAUUAUUAUUUUUGGCAAUAAUGUUGUUUAAAUAAAAACGUAAUUAAUGAGAAUAUAUCUAGGAGUUUUUUUUGGGUCAGAAAUAGGACAUGUUAUCUUACAAAAUCAUUAUAAUUUUCAUGAGUUGUGAAUAUAUAUCACAUAUAACACACAAUAAAUUAAAGUCUACAUGAACUUAAAAUCAUUGUAAGAAAUGCCUAUCUAAUAAGUGAAAAUGAUUAUACACAUACAAAUUUAGAUAACAAAUUGUCUAAUAAAUGGACAAUAUUUUUUUUCUGUCUCUUAUUUAUAAAUAAAUUGACAACAUUAAAAAAAAAUGAGAAGAAGUAGAAACGGUAGAGCAAAGGUAAGCAACAUGGGCUUGUGGUUAAAUUUUUAGGUGGGAGAUAGACCUUUAAAAUUAUAAUUCUCAUGUUUGUAUAAGUUAACUAGCAGAGGAGGAAAAGUAAGUGACACGAGCUUCUGGUUAAAUGGAAAAUGGAUGGACAUGGAAGCUUCAAUGGCAUCGGGAAUUAUUCUUUUUUAGUAGUAACAAGCAAAAAUUUAUAUGUUGUUCAAGAAGGAGUGCACCUUUCUAAUAAUAAUUCGGAUUGAAAGAUUUGGAGCUUAGGCAAGGAUAGCACUACUAAGUCAAAUCAUGUAGUUCUUUUAUUGACAUAAUUGUUUUUUUGAAGGAUCUAAUUAUUUCAAAUUUAAUGUAUAGUUUAAAAUGACCCCACCUAAAAUAUAGAUAUUUAUGUGAUUCGCGGUCCAAAAUUGACUUUCUAUAAUGACUUUCUUCUCAGACUUUGGUUAUUAACAGUAGAGCAAUCCAAAUAUCUAUUUUGUGCGGUAGAGUGGGAGACUUUGGAUCAUUUGUUAUUCCAUUGUUCUAAAACUCGGCAAUUAUGGGUAAAAUUCUUACAUUUGUGUGGAGUAUCUUGGUGCAUCCCUCAACUCUGGAUUUAUUGAUUUAUCAAUGAUUUUCUUUGGUGAAAGCUAGAUUUCAAACUUGCGUUUGGAAUCUCUUUUUCUUUUUUUUUUCCAGAAUAGAAUGGAGUGUUUGACUCAUAAGAAAUGAUCUGGUUUAGUCACACGUGUAUGGCAUCACAACGAUCAUCCUCUCAAAUCGAGAUCGUCAAGAAUGAUGUGGAUGAAAAGGACAAGAAAUUCUUGUUUUUUAUCCGUAGAAAAAAAAAUGGAAAUCGUAACCUAGUAUUUUGAUCACUAGGAAUCAUAACUGGUCUCUGAGUCUAGGUAAGGAGACUGAUUGUGUAAAGGAAAUAAAUUAACACUCCUAAUACGUCUUACUUGAUGUAAAUUGUAUUGUUUAUUUGUCUGAUGUAAAAUAAGAUAAUGUAGUGUUUUCUAAUCGUUAGUCCAUAUACGGUUUAAAAACAUCUUUCUCCAUAAGGAGACCCGCAUCUUAUCAUAUUAAAAACCUAAUCGUUCUAAUAUCAAUAUAAAAAAAAUCAAAUAAAUUAUCUUUUUAUUUAAUAUCAGGAAUAUAUCUUACGUAUAAGUUUAUAAUCUCGCUAAUUAGAGAAAACAAAAUAACUUUUUUUGGUAUUUCUGAAACAUAGGCAAAAAUCCUUUGAAACUUUACAAACUUAUAGUAAAAUCCAUGCAUAAUUUUUUAAAAAAUAUAUAAAAGAAUUUUAGAUUUUAUCUUAUAAAAAAUGCUUAAAUAACUGUAGGAGUUUUCAACCACGUGUAAGAAAAAAGAUGUUUUUUUUUAUUUUUUUUAGUUUUUAAUCUUUCUUUGGAAAAAAUCCAUUUUUCUUUUGUAAUAAAACCACCAAAAAUAGGCUUAAGGGGUGUUUUCCAAACACACAUAUAAACCCAAAAACUCUUUAGCAAAAAUUAUGGCAAACCAAAUUAUAGUUGACCCAAUUUGGUUAACCCGGAAUUUGUGGUUCAGCCAUAAAUCAAACCAAAAACUCUAGUUUGAUCCAAAAACAAAACUAAGGACAAAAGGCAGAUUUAACAUCCAAAAACUCAAAAAUUCUAGAAGAAAAUGGAUCAAACACAUGAAAACCAAAUCAAUUUUUUCAUGAUGGUUGCACUAUCAAGUCUGAAUUGCUCACUUUUGAUGCCUUGUUAGAGCAAUUCUGAUGUCAAUGUCACUUGAGACAACUUGAAGUUGAUAAAAGGGGUGGGGUGCACACCUUUUAUUUGGAUCCAACAUUACUCAAUUUAGAAGUAUGUAACUCUACAUUCAUUCAUUUGAAAUUGUCAACUCAAUCAGCCAAAAUUAUAAGAACAAAGAUGCAAGCUGAUGAACGACGUGUCAUUCACCUUCUAUUUAUUAAGUCCAAACAACACAUCAUUUACAUUUCUUAAUUUGGGAUUUGAAAAUUUUCAAUCAAGUCCAUAUCUUUUAAUUGCUUUUAAUUGUACCUGUAAUUUCUUUUAAACUUUUAAUUUCAUGCAAUGUCACCCUUGUAAAACUGAAUUGUCCGCCCCAAAGUCGACCGUUAUUUUCAUUUUAGUCAUUGGUUUUGAAUUUAUGCAUUUUGACCCUCAAUUAACCAGCAAGCUUUCAAUUUCUUCACUUUAGACCCUGAUUUGGUUAAUUUCACCCCUUACAUUCACGUCUCUCUUUUAGUUUGGUCCUUAAUUUUGAAUUUCUUCAAUCAAGUCCCUACUUGCCCAUCAAACUUUAAUAUUUAUGUAAUUAAGCCCCUAAUUUGCUUAAAAAUUUCAAUUCAACCCCAAACUUUAAUUUCUUCUAAUUAAAGUCUAAAUUAACUUCAAAAGUCAAUUUUUCUUACAAUUAAGCCCCCAAUAAAUUCAAUUAGACCUUGAGAAAUUCCAAUUGAGUCUUUGAAUAUCCAAUUUUGAAUAUCUUUUCUCAAAUUGAAUUUUUAUUUACCAAUAAAGCCUUUAUCAGUUGAAAAUAUACUGUCAAAUUUUCCAAUCUUAUAUAUUUUGAUCUUCCUCAACUAGUUUUCAGUAAUUUCCCAGGUGCUCUGGUUUAUUCUUCUUACUAAUUUAUUUUUGUGGUUUUCUUUUAGCUUUUUUUAUUUUUUUGUGUUCUAUUUUCUUUUUUUUUCUUUUUUUUUUGUGUGGGGCCUUGAAAUGGGUAACAACAAUCUUUAACAAGUUGCAGACGAAUUGAUUCUAGUAUCUUUUCAAUCUUGCAUAGACUAUCAAUUUGGCUAAAGUGCAAUGAACCUAAUUUUAGCUAUAUUGGUAACGACCUCAUUUGAUGUGCAAAUGAUAUUCGAAUAUGAAGAAAUACACAUCACUAAUUUAGUUGUUGUUUUUUUUCUAUUAUGUUUUCAUCUAUAACACAGACAUUUUAUCUUCCUGUAAAUGGUCAUUCAACUUUUCAGGGGUCAUCUUCUAAAUUAUUAAUUUUGUAUUAAUACGCUUGAUUAUUAUAUAAAAAAGGAAGAAGAAGAGAAAUAAUUAGAAGGACUUUAAUGUUAAUUUCCUUAAUUAUGUGCAAAAUAUAUUUCUAUAUGAUAAUGAAAGCAGUAACACGAUCAUGGCUCCAAAGAGAGCAUAAAUAUACUUUAUGGUCUAAUUUUUAAAUCGUUGAUUGCAAUGAUGUACUACAUAGAGUAGUAGCAUGUGAUUGGCGACUCAUGAACAAUGUGAUGUCCUCCUCCUUCUUUUGAUUAUUUUUUUGUGAAGGACUUCGAUAAGGUUGCUCAUAAAAAGAAGUUUUUGUUUUCUUAUGGGAAGUAUUCAGAAAAAAAAAAAAAAAAAACAUUUAAUGACAAGCAUAUAAUUGAAAACUUAUGAAAAGAUCAGAAAUUAUAAUUAAUUGAAGUAGCUUCAUUAGGUAUUAUUUUUCAAAUUAUGACAAGGUACACAUUUUUUGGUAUAAGUCCAGCGUGUAAUCUCAUAAAAAUGAGCAUAACUAUUUCUUUAAUUGUCUUAUUUUAUUUUGUUUUAUUCUUUUUUUUUGUAAUGUUAAUAGAUAAAUUAUUUCUAAGUGUUAGGAGGGAGGGAUAGGAAGACGUAAUAUGUGCCAAGAUAAGUUGCCAAACAAUGAUGUGAAGCUAACUUGAUCAUAGUGUAAACAAGUUUAAUUUCAAACGAAGUAAAAAAUAAAUAAAUAGAACUCAUACAUGAUCAUUGUCAAUGCCCCCAUAUCGUAUUAUUACCUUUAAUAAGAUUUUUUUUAUCUAAUUUAGGAUGAAAAGUAAAGAUCUUAUAAGAAAUAGUAUCAUUUUUCUUAAAAUAGAAAAAUAAAUAAAUAAAUAAAAAGAUAUCCGUUGUAAUCUAUAAUAAUUAUGAGCAUUCCUGACAUAAGGAAACACAUGUGAUGAACUUUCCAAAAAUUAUUCUCUGUUUUUAUACAUAGAAUUUAUAGCGAGAGGUGUCGCACGUGUGCAACGUCGCAGCGAUAUCGUCUACCCUCAGUAUUAUAUCUAUCUUGCAAAUAUAAAGAGACAAAGAAUUCUUGUCUUUUAUCGAUGGAAAACAGGAAUCAGAGUCGCUACCUAGUAUUUUGAUUACUAGGAACCCUAACUAGUCUCAGAGAUUCAGCAUGGAGACUGGUUGCAUAAAAAGAAGGUAUUAGCACCCCAAAUACGCCCUACCUAAGGUAGGCUACAUUGUUUGAUUGUCUGAUAAAAAACUAAAGUCUUGACAUGUUUUUUAAUUGUUGGUCUGUCUAUGGUUCAAGAAAAAGCCCAGAUACUAAAGUCAACAAAAUAAUUUAAUAUCCGGAAUACGUCUUACGUAUAAAGUCAGAACCACAUAUACUAAAAAAAAAUUUUGUUUUUGAAAUUUUAGCCUAGUUCUCGUGAUUUUAAUAAACUGGUUAUUAAAACCAAAAUACAUGCUAAAAUAUUUUUUGAAUUUUUCUUUGUUGUAUGAAAAUACAAUAUGAAUUUCUUGAGAGGCAUAGUCUUAUGCAUAAAAACAAAACCUUUUUUGUUUUAUAUUUUUUUGCAAUGUUUAGGCAAAAACCAGGUAAUUUAAUACCGAAGUUAUAUCUUUAUGGUAUAAAAAUAUAAACCAAUAUUACAUGAAAUUGAUACAAGAAUACACGGGGCAAUCAUAAUUUAAAAAAAAAAGAUUUUUUGAUUUUUUUUUACACUGGACCCGGUCUAACUAUUUUGACCUGAGCUGGGCCAGAAUUGGCCCUACCAUGAAAAGUGGCUCUCCACUAUUCAUUAGCAGAACAAUGGAGACUAGGGUGGCAGUGCAGGAGAAGAAGAAGAAAAAAAAGAUAAGAAAGGGGAGGAGAGUUGACCUAUGGUGGCUACUGUCGUUGGUGGUGUUAUUGGAGGCGGAAGAUGGCGGCUCCUCUUCUUUUUUCUUUAUGUUUUUUUUUUUGUGUUUCUUCUUCCCCUUAUUUUUGUCUCCUGCUUCUCUAUUUCUUCUCUUCUUUUUUGUUGUCGUUGACGAUAGCUCAAGGUAGGGGUGAAGAAGAGGACUGGUGGUGGUUCGCGGAGGGCGCUGCGGGAUCUAGGCUACUGGGCGGCGAUCCUCGACGAUGCUACUGGUAAAAACGGCGGUUCUUCUUUCUCUGUGUUGUCCUGUAUUUCUACCCUUCCUCCUUCUCUCUUGCUCUUUUAUUCUAUGUUUUGUUCUUAUCUUAUGUUCUUUGUCUCUUUUUUUUUUGUGUUCUUCUCCCUUCUCCAAAACCACCCUCACCGUUUCCCCCUUUGUUCCUACUUCUUUCCCUUUCUGUUCGUCUCUGUUUUCAAAACAAUCUUUGUUCCUCCCUCAAACUAUCCACUACUUCCUUCUCUUUAUUAUGUUAUCCUCUUCAAGUUCAUUCCCUAAAAAAAAUGUAUCCUCCUCGUCUCCAAUUCUCCCCUAUGUUUAUAGGCAAUCGGAAUAUCAAAAUAAUUUUUGAGUUAGUAUUUAAACAAAUCUUAUAUGAACAUUUUCUUGAUGACUAUAUUAAUUUUUCUUUGUUUUUUUUUUCUUAUCCAAGAAAGAUCCUUGAAACGAAAUCAAAGAGCUUCACCAUCCACAGAACAAAAGUCUAACUAAAAAAUAAUUAGCCAAGUUAUGACUAAACUUCACACACACACACAUAUAUAUAUAUUAAAAAUUUCAGCAACAAAUCAUAACAAUAGAUUUAUACAUAUUUCAAGUCUAAAAAUCUUUCAUUUAUUAUAAAUUAAAUAUAAAAUUAGUUUUAAAAUCUUAUCCAAAAGUUUAAGAUUUGUGAUUGAGUUAGUAUUUUUAUUCUAAAUAAAAAUAACUACACAAAAUUUAAUUCUAAGUAGCUUUCAUGCAAGGGAAUAUAUUUGGGAAUUAUAUAUAAAACCAUUGGAGUGGGUGUAAGCAAACACAUAAUGAAAACUGAUUUUCUUAACUUAAAGUCUUUGUAUUAAAUUUCAUCCAUUAACUUAAAAUUUGGUAUUAAAUGGCUUUUGUAAUCAUUUGGAUAUAUUAUCGCUUAAUUAUAUGUUAUUGUGUUCUUAAUUUUAUAAUUAAAUCUCAAAUGAAUAUGAAUUGUAUAACAACUUAUCAUUCUCAUGAUAUCUUAAGAACAUGAGAGAAACACUUUAUCUACCCCUUUUCAUGAUAAGUACUACUUUUAUAGGCAUAUGAUUGUCGGUUGUAUUUGAAUAAAAUAUACUAACUUGAGAGCUUCUUUCUUGUAGCUUUGUUGCUUGUUAUUUUGAGAGUUUCUUAGAAUUAAUAAAUCUCGUUAUUCUUCUAUACCAUGCAUGAAUAAAAAUUACCAUAGUUUGGUCUAAAACAGUAAACUUAUAAAUUAUGUAUAAUUUACUAUUAUAAUCUCAAUUAAUCCAUUCAACAUAUUAUAAAUAAAUUAUUUAUUAAAUAUCUCAUCACUACAAAAAACAUCAAUAUUGUUGCAAUUAAACACAUAUAUGGAAGUAUAUAAGAAACAAUCUUUAAUAAAAUAUAAAGAUGAAUUGAGGUAAUUUUCCAAAACAAUACCUAAUCAUUGUUAGUUUUCAAUAUGCUUGAACUUAUGCAAAUUUUUUUUCAUAACUUAAUUGCUUGUUUGGCAGUGUGGUUGCGAUUACUUUUUAAAUAAUUUUUUGUGUUAAAAUAUAUGCUAAUGAUUUUUUUUAUUUUUUAAAAAUCAUUUUUAACAUCAACACAUCAAAAUGAUUUGAAAACACUAAAAACAUAUUAAUUUAAAAUAAAUAAAUAAAAAUUUCAAAAACGAUUUUAAAACACAUAAACAAAGGACACUGUAUUAAUUUUCCAAUUAAAAACUUGUAUGGAAACGCGAGCAAACAUAUAUUUUCAAAAAAUUCAAUUGUUUUUACUAAAAAUUAAUUUUUUUAUAUAUGUUUUAUAUCGUUUUGAUACAUUAAUUUUAAAAAUAAUUUUUUUAAAAUAAAAAAUAUAAUUUUAAUUUAUUUUAACUAAAAAAAUAUUUUAAAAAAUAACUACAAUUUCAAAAUAACAUUAAUAUUCAAAAAAAUAAUAAUGUCGUUGUAGUACCAUCACGAAAUGUUUUUUGAAAGAAAAUUGAUACAAAAGUUUUUCCCUCCAUCCCCAAACACUUGUUUAGGCACCUAGCGAGUGACAUCAAUCAAUCAAUCAAUAAAAAGCCUGUGGUCACAGUAAAGGUCCAUAUUGUAUUAAUCUAUAAAAAAAUGAAUGGAAUCGUCAUUUAAUGUUUUGUAAUUUAUUAAUUUAUAUAAAGUCUUGGUUCACAAGGGGGUUCGAACUCUUUAAUAUCCUUUCCCUAACUCACCCAACCUAGUGCACGAUUUCUUAUCCAAAAUCCUCCAUAUAUUAAUUACGAAGUAGUCCUUCUUGUACCGCAGAUGAUAGGUUGCUAGGUUUGCAUGCUACUGUCCUUCAGCUUAAUUGGUGUGCUUUUAUGUUAAAACCUAACGAUCUUAACUCUUUUUUUAAUUACUCCACCUUGUGAGUUAAGCUACGCUAUUUGUUUAACUUUACACUGUACCGCUGCUAGAAUAAACUUUUUUUAAUGUAAACCGAAAUUCAAAACUUGAUUAAUUUAAUAAUAUAAUAUAAAAAACUAUACAAUAAUAAUAGAUAAAUUAAACAAAAUAAAAUUAAUAUGAAUCAAUUUAAAUAAAACCGUGAAUCAAAUAACUCGUCAGAUAAUAUUAAAAUAAUCCUAUAAAAUAAAAAAAAAUAAAAAAAAAUUAAUUGUAAAACAUGACAUAAAAAACUCAAAUAAACUUUAGUUAAUCUUUUAAACCUAUGACAUAAUUCUAAAAUCAUCUCAUAAAGUAAGAUUUCAAAUUUCCUCUGAUUCUACUUAUGUAAAAACAAAAAGAAAACAAUAAUAAAAAACUAAAAAACCUCUAAAUGCAAGGUAAAGAUAAUAAUUUUAUUCUACUACAAAAAAGGAAGGGUCAAAAUAGCUCCAGCAUGCCAGUUCAUUAUUUCUUGCUUCAAAUGAUAUUUUAGUUAUGUUUACCAUGCCAACAAAAACACCUUUUUACCCAUGAUUUUCAAGCUAAAAUUUUUUUUUGUUGAGAGUUGAAAAAUAGUAAUUUUAUCGUUUUAAUUCAUAGCUCCAAUAAAUUUAGAACUACAAUAAAAUUGUUGCAGUAUUUUCUCUAUCUUUUUUAGUUUUGUUUUUUUAAAAAAAAAAACAGUUUCAUGGGUUGCAUUUAUUUUAUUUUAUGUAACUAUAUAUCUUUCAACACAUAUAUGAAUGAUAUUGAUUUAAUUUGCUUGCCUUUUAUUUACUAUCAUUAUUAUUAUGAAAUAUUUUUUUUUUCUAUUAGAACUCUUCUCCAGUUUAGCCAGAAUUCCUUCAUUAUAUAUAUUGAAGGGUAAUCUGACCUAAUAAUAUCCUUACAUAUAUAUCUCAAAGAUACUUUUCGCUAUAAAUUUCUAAAACAAUUUUUCUUAAUGCACCGUACUUAUUUCUAUAGUUAUCACGUUUUCUAGAUACAAAUUUAAAAUAAAUUGAACAUAUGAAGUAGAUUUCAAUAAAUAAUGUAGGUGAAAUUUAUAAUGUAUGUCUGUUAAUGGUUGGUAUAUAUUUGGUACUCUGGAAGAAGCAACUGAUCCAUAUAUAUAUUAUUCUCUUUUCUUUUUUUCAUUAUGUGAGUUAAGAGAACACAUGGGAUUGUACGUGGAAAAUAUUCCAUAAAAGAGAGAAAUAUCUAUAAAUACAUAAUUCAAAUCAAACUCUAGUGUUUUUUUUCUUAGUUUUAUUCUUUGAUUGAUUGAGAUUUUAAUUUCGUUGUUUGUUUUUAUUUAUUUUACCUUUUUUUAGAUUUUUUAUUUAAAUUGUUCCAUUUAUUACUGUUAUAUAUUUUUUUUAUUAUCUAAUUAAAUGAUAUCAUCAUUUUUUUUCUUGGUUAAGUUUAUACUCCGUUAUUUUUUAUUUUUAAAAAAAAAAACAUGCUUAUGAUAUUUUUACUAAUAAAAAAAUUAUUUCGGCACCGUGAGCCCACAAAUUCAUUACACAUGUUUGUGUGCUCCUAAGUUUUGACUAACCACAUGCUUUGCACCAUUUUAUUAAGUGAUCCAAAAUGGAUAAGAAGAUAACUAAGGCGAUCUAAAGCCCAUAAGCAACAUUCAUAUCAUAUAACCCCACAUAUAUGCACAAAGUGCAAUUAACAAAUCAGGAUCAAAUGUCAUAGAAUUAAAGGUUUUUUUUUAAAAAAAACUAAUAUGAUUAAGAAAAAUGAAUCGUUUCUGUUAAUAUAUUUAAAAACUAAUCAAUAAUAAUAUACUAUCUAUUAAAAAAUUAUCGCAUGUAAUGAUUUUUCUCUUGCCAUGUACGAAGAUAAAAAAAAUAAUUAAAUAAUACCAAGUUAAAGAAAAUAAAGUUUUUUUUAACUAAAUACUUUGAAUGUAAUUUCAUAGCAUAGAUUUAUAUUAUAAAUUAUUUUUACUUGAAUAAAUUGAAAGCUCACAUCAUAAGUUUUAAUUUAAGAUGGGUAUUGAAUUUUUUUUGGAUAAAGUAUAAAAGCAAUAAAAUAAAAAAUAAUAAUAAUCUAUUAUACAAUAUCGAUGCACAUCAAAAUCCUUUAAGUUCAAAUAUUUAUGAUAGUAUAAGAGUUGCAUUAUAUAUUAUUCGAUUUCUUAUUAAUUUUUAAUUAAUCAUAUUUUCUUAAUAGAUUUAUGAAAUCAAUGGUAUCAUAGAUUCUUUUUUAAUAAUCAAAAGUAAUUAAUAAUUUAAAUUUUAUAUUCAUAAAAAAAAUUAUAUAUAUAUAUAUAUAUAUUAAAUUUUAUUGUCUUUUGAUUUUAUUUUUAGAAUAGAAAUUUUCUAAAUCUAAUUUCUAUCAAUAAAAAAGUGAAAAAUUGAUACCAAGUUAUAAAAAAUAAAUGCUAUAAAAAUCAUAAUAAUCCCUAUUAAAAUCAAAGGGUUAGUCACAUUUCAAAGUUAAAUAUAAAAUAUAAUUCGCAAUGUUGCAGAGAAAACUCAUUUUCCUCUUGAAAUAGAAUCUGGUUGGUUAGAAGUUUGUUUUCGCUGUUUGUCUUCUCUUUCAAACAAAUUUUAUUUAUAUUCUAAUUUUGUUGAAGAUAUUUAGGAUUUGUAUUCCUUUAAUGAUUCACAUAAUUUUUCUUUUCAUUAUCAUAGAAUAAAUGUGAGAGCCAACAAUAUGCUUCAAUUGUUUUUAAUAUGUGAUGAUUUUUAAAAUCCAAGAUAUAUAAAUAAUAAGUAAUUUAGUAUUUGAGAUGGUGGUUAAUCAAUAAGUCAAGAUAAUUGGAUUUUGUCUCUUUAGAUCAAGGAAUACUAGACUAAUAAUAAAAGCUUAAGUGCCUUUAAAAACAGUUUUAAUAGGAAGACUUGAAGACCCUUUGAUAUGAUAAAGUUAGUAUAUUUAUAGGAAAUGCAAUAAAUGAUUUAAAAGAGUUUAAAAUUCAAUGAAUAAAAAUAUUUGUUCUUGAAUUUUAAAAUGAUUAAUGUUAUAAAAUAUAUGCAAGUUUUUCUUAAGAGAUGAAAAGUUUUGAAUUCUUACUUGGAUGGUUGAAGUGGUAUUUAUACCUCUAAACCUUGUUAUUUUUAGAGGGAAAAAAAAACUAAAAAGUCCUUUGUUUUCUAUGAUAUUAAUGAGUGAUGAAUAUCCUUUAAAUAUUAUUAAUGAAAUAGUAAGUAUGAUAGGUCUUUUAUAAAAUCUUUUGUAUACCUAUGAGUGUAAGAAAAUCAUUAAAUCGGAUAUGAAUGACUUAUAUAAUUAUUUUUGAAGGACUCCAUAGCGGUUUAUCAUAUUGGGUCUAAGUAUUCUUGAAGAAGAAGCUUCCGGGCACUUCAACUAAUCCUACAAGCUCUGAAGUUAACAAUCAUGUAUUCAUGUAAGUUUCUAGUGGCGCUAAGAUUUGUGAGAUUUGAACUGGUGAUCUCUAAAGAAUAAAUUUAGAACUAGAGAACCAAACAAUGUUUUUAUUUUCAAAGAUAAGAAGUAGAAGAUUUAAUAAAAAAAAAUAAAAAAAAAUAUAAUUUUAAUUUGAUUAAAAAAAAAACACUUUCAUUUUAUAAUUUUAUAAUGAGUGAAAUUACAUAUUCUAACUUUCUGACAGGAGAACCUUCUCGUUUUUGAAAUCUGGCAUCGCCACUUUCGCUGAAUUUGAUGACAGGCCAUGCGACCCAAGAUUCAAGAGGAGCGGCCUUAACAUGAGGAGUGAAAAGAGAGGCUUAUCGGCAGUGCAUUCUGCAUCCACCGAAGCAAUCGCUCCAAAAAUCUGUAUUUUUCAUCAUCAUAGCCCAUAAGUGGGACCCAUACAGACACAAUAUAAACCACCCGAUUAUUAUACUAUUUUUGGAAACCAUUUUCCACACAGCUACACUUUGACUUUCUAGUUUCCCCUCCUCGGGAAUAACAUAGUUUUGAAGUAUUUGAAUUUUGAUCUUAGGGUUGCUUUAGGCAGCAAAGUUCAAGACACAUUCAAUGUUAGAUCUUCAAGAUGAGCUUCGUAACCGAUUUCUUAAAGAAGUACGUACCAUGUUGAUGAUUGACUAAUUAUCACACUUUUAAAACUAUAUCAAGUAAGAUGUAGUUUUAAAAUUAUAUCAGGUAAGACGUAAAAAAACCUUAACUUGAAUUAAUUAUAAAAUAAAAGAGAAAUCAAACCUCUUAAACAAAAUUUCUAAAUAAUUAAAACAAUUUUAUUUUAAUUAAUUUUUUUUAAAUAGUCAAUAAUAAAUAGUCAGGUUUGGGUAUAAUAGAUUAUUAAGUUAACUCAUAUUUUUUAUCAAACCAACGAGUUUUUCUUUUUUUAUUUUUUUUUAUUUGUUCUGUAAUUGGGACUGAUUCAAACUCUAGACUAGCUAAGUCCCUGAUAAACCCACCGGGCUUAACCAAGUUUUGAAACAAUGAAUUUUAUUUACAAAGAUAUAUUCUUUAUUAAUUUUUAUCUUGAAUAUAUGGGAUUUUAUUAAACAUAUGUAGAUGUGAAACAUCUCAUAAUGGUGUUUAAUAAAUCUAUUUAUAUAUUUUAUUCAAUUUUUUUUACCACCGAAAAAUAAGUGAAAUAGAUAUUGUUAAAAGCAAUCUUAAAAGCUUGAGAUAAGAAUUAAAUUAGAUAAGAAUAAUAUUAUAUUAUCUGUAAAUAAAAAAAAUAUUUAUCUCAUCAACUUAUUUUUAAAUUUACAAUUAGAUUUACAACUUGUAUGUAUUGUAAGUUUGAAGAAACACGUUAUUAGUAAAUGCAUAGUUGUAAGUUAUCAAUUCUAUAUUUUACUAACCAAUCUUAAAAAAAUAUUUAGAUAAAUUUCAAUCUCACUCAUUUGAUUUUAUUUAAUUUAAAAUUUUUAAACUAAUUAAAAUGUAUUUUAGCCUUGGAAAUAGAGUUUGAGGUUCUAGGGAUGAUUUUUGUAUGUGUUUCUAGGAGAACAAAAGAUUGAAAAUUGAGUUUUGAAGUUCCAAAACUCAUAUUAUAACUUUUCAAUCACCUUUCGUAUCAAGCUUGUUGCAACACAACAAUUCAUAUCUUCUCAUGUAGAAGACAUAUUAUUCAUCACAUAAAAAAAAAAAAAAAAAAAAAGGGCAAGUCCACAGGUUAGACCUACCAAACCCAAGCAGGCUCACAGGCCAGACCUACUCUAGUCCUUUUUAUAAAAAGGCCAAGGGUGCAUGAGCCUUCCUUUUAUUCCACGCUAUUGGGCUUGGUUCUCUUACUUUUCUUUUUUUUUUUCUUUUUUCAAUAUCUUAAAAUAAAAACCUAUUUAAAUAAAUAAUUAUAAUAAUAUUUAAAAAUAAUUUAAUUAUGGAAUUUUUUUUAAAAUAAAAUUUAAGCUUUUACUAUAAUAUUUAUAUUUUUUUAAAAUAAUUAUAUAUGAAACUAAUAUGCAUAGUUUUCCAAAAUAAAUUGCACAUGAAUACUCAAUAAGAAUAAAGUAUAUGCUUUAUAUUUUUACUCUGAUUAAUGAUUUUUUUAUAUAUAGUCAUACAAAAAUGAUACCUUUUUAUAUGAUAAAAAAAAUCAUGUUUUUGUAUAAAAAGACAUGCUCUCAUCAAAAAAAAAAUAUAUCAAUACCAAAAAGGGAUUUUUGGCUAGCUAAAAAUAUAUUUUCUUUUCUUGAAUUUAAACCAUUGAAUUUUUUACAAAUAUGUAUUCUGACUUCUUUUAUUUUUAUUAAAAAAACCAUGUUGUUAAUAAAAAGAGACAUGACUUUAUCAAAUAAAAAAUAAAUUCAGAAAUAAUAAAAAUAAAUUUUAAUUGGAGAAAUACAUUUUUAAUCUAGAAUUCAAAUGAUUGGAAUUUUAAAAAAUAUAUGUUUUCAUUGCCGCAAAAUUAAAUAAAACUAGGUUUUGAAAAUAACCCCAGGGCUCACACAAGUCCAUAAAAAAAAAAAAUCGAAAUGUUAUCUCAAGUUCGGGACAAGUAGUACAUCAUGUGGAGAUCGAGUUUAUGCGAAGGUUCGAAAUAGAUAAAUACAAUUUCCUAAUCAAAAAGCCCUACUAUGUUCAUGCAUCAACUAUCUCUCCAGCCUCAGCAGCAGCAAGCACAAGCUCUGGCUGUAGACUGAACGUUCCAUCUAGGGCAUUUGGUUGCCCCAAAGCCUUCAAAGCCAAGUGUGCAGCCUUCUGCCCUGAGAUCAUCAUUGCCCCAAAUGUUGGACCCUGCAAAAAUUAAGUUAACGAUCAUCAUUAGUUUAAUGAUACAGUAUGAUUUUCACAUGAACUUGAUAAGAAAAAAAGAAAAAAGUUAUGGUAAUCGAAGAUUUACCAUUCUUGGUGCUCCAUCAAUUUCUGCAACUUCCAUGCCUGUAACAAUCAUGCCAGGAACAAUCUCUCUUGUGAGCCUAACAAUUGCAUCUUCGGCCGUGUUCAUGUCGAGAGCUUUCAUUCCUGGAACACUAUCAAUCAUGCCAAUACUCUUCAAUCUCUUCACUCCAGUAGCACCGAAAGGUCCAUCAUGUCCACAGGAACUAACCACAACCUUAGCCUCCAUGACAUUAGGGUCCAUGCAAGACUGGGUGUCAUGGUUCAUAGACACUAAAGCCCAGUUAGUAACCACACCAGAAACUCUGCCUCCUUUCACUAUUAAAUCCUCUGCUGCCACAGCAUUAAAGAGCUUCACAUUAGGCCUAGCCAAGAGCUUGCUCAUGAUUGUUGAAGUGAACAAAGCUGCAUGCUUGAUAACCACAUAGUUAUCUGCCUCGUCAUAUUCAAUUUCAAGCUCAUCAAGAAAUCUAUGAGCUGGUUUACGCACAAUCAUAGCUGAAAACAGUUGGCCACCAAGCCACGCGCCACCUCCAGGGCUAACCGAUUGCUCAAUUAUAGCAACACGAACUGAAGGGUUCUUGCUUAGCUCAUAAGCACAAGAAAGACCAGCAGAGCCAGCACCAACAAUGACAACAUCAGUGUCUGCGUAAGUAACCAUGUCUGUCAUGUAACGACGAGUCAUCUCGAGAGACGAUGGAUUCUUUGAUGGGCUGGAACUUAAAGGACUGAAGAUCAUAUGAAGGUUGUGUCAAGGACAUGGUGAUGGCAGGAGAGGUGGAUUUGAUUGGAGUGAAACGUCCAGUAGUUGUGAUAGGUGUGCCAUGGAAGGAUGAUUUGUGAUCCAAGAAAGAGGAUUUGAGGUUUAUAGAUAGAGAGGAGGUAAGGGUAGAGGCCAUGGCUGUAAUUGAAGGAGUUUUUGAUAAGGUUUUGCUGAAGGGUUUUUGACUGUGUAAAAGAAAUUGGAGAAAGCUACAGAAGAGGGCUUGAGAGAUGAGAUUUUAGAUGAUGGGUAUUUAAGGAUGUGUAGCAAGUGGAGGGAUGUGAAAAUAUCUGGAAAAAAAAUCUUCAAGAAGUGAUUAUGAUGGGUCACAAGAUAGCUAGAUAGAACUUGAGCGGUUCAUAAUGCUUGUAGUUUUGCAAUCUGGAUAUAAAGACUGCACUAAAAGCAAAAUCAUAGACAACUUUCCAACAAUAAGAUCUGUGAGAUAUAUGCCCUAAUUCAUCGAUCAUUUUCGACAAUCUGUAGCAGUAGUCUCAUAAUUAAUUAACCGACACAGUAUAAUUGGUUUAGUAAUCCAACUGAAGUAGAUACAAUGGCUGUACAUCAGAUUUAGCAUGCUGAGAGGUAAAACUUACUGCAAUUUCUCUUAGGUCAUUGCUAAGAAACUCUCUGAUCAAUCAAAUAAAUUGAAUUAGCAAAACUUUCCAAAAGAAAAACAUAGCAACCCACAUUUCUAUAUGCUCAUUAGUCAUUGUAAAACCAAAAUAUUUCAGCUACCUACACUAACAUCGGUCGUCUUUGAACCGUGAUUUUUUUCUUUAUACCUUCACGUUUCUCACCCUUCCUAGUUUCUCUUCUUCAAUUCAUAAAUGAAAUGCAGUUUUAAUAUUUUACAAAAGUUUUGAUCAAACUUCCACGUUCACCUUGAAUUUUUUUUUUCUAGUGUAAUAUCCUGGAUAUUGAAAAGGGGACUCGAAUCUCGUUGCCAGUACUGUAGCAUCCUGGAUAUUGGAAAGGGGACUCGCAAUUUCUGAUAUGCACUUUAAUAUCUUUUUCUGCUCUUUGCACCACGUUCAUACUCUUACUGUACUUGUACCUUUGGUGUUGACUCAAGUUCAUACUGCAUAGCCUUCUGCUUCGUUUUCCUGGAAGAUCUUGAUGUCGAAGAUGAAGAUUUGGGAGAGGAAGAACUUGUCUUUUUCUUCCUAAUUUUUGGUUUCUUGGGAACAUUUGGAAGAACUGAAGGUGGAAUGUCAUUGAACACAUUUGGCAUAGUUUGAUGUCCCAAAGAAUGAUCAAAAUCUGUUACAAAAAUAUCACAAGAAAUAGGAUCAUGUCAUCUGGAGAUAAUUAUGGAAAAUCCUAAAAGAAAAUAAAGAGCAUGCAUCAAGGAGGUAUUUCCCAAUCGAAGAGGAAAAACAUUUCAGAAUUGGCUUGAAAAACAAACUCAAAAGGAGCCAAAGGAUCGAUCUAAGAGUAGCCUUGAAAACUUGAAUCAUGUGUCACAAGUUCUUUGAGCUGGCCUCCAGCUUGUCCCAAAUAACUCAUAGUAACUAUCAUCAUCUCUGGGAGAUUUUGAAGUGGGGUGAUAUGGUUCCAAUUAUGUAUUACCACCUCAUAUGGAUUUUGAAAAGUAUUCCAAACAAAUUCAGCCAAAUCCAACAAAAUUUCAGCUUUCAAAACCUUGAACAAUGGAUCAAUGCCUCCCUCUAAACACUACUGCCCAAAAAUUCUCAAUAAUAGUCUCCCAAGAUACCCUACAGAUAUUAUUAUCCAUUAUAUGAAUGGCUCGAGUAACAAAAUCUAAGCAUGGUCCACCCAGAACUGUCCUUUACCAAGGCAAUCAGUUCCAUAAUUUUGGCUCGUGACACAAAAACCAAACUCCUGCCACUUGGAGGGCAAUAAUCUCAACUUUGAGUGUACCUUGAAGAUUAGCUUUGAUAAAUUGAGGGAGGCAUUCCUAUGUGUUGCAUUUAACUUCACACGUGAAAAGGCCCUACUUUUACUUGUCAGCUUAUGCCAUAGACCCCCAAAAGGUAUCUAUUAAUUAUUGUUUAAGGGAACAUAAUUUUGAAGUGAUAAAUUCAAGCUUUGGCAUUUACUCAAAUGGCAUCCAAAUGGGAGCAAUCUUUGCCACAUAUAUGGGUGUGUCUUAUUCGUUGCUGUGAAUCUUGAAAAAAUAAAGAAAUGUUUCUUAUUAUGGUUCGCAUAAAAAGCAGCCUAAUUCGUCUAGGUUUUGGCAUAAUUACAGUGCUCAACAGUUCUUUAUUCUGGAUGUGGUAGCCGAAACAUAGCUAGCUUAUCACCACACAAGAAUUCAUGAGGAGUUUGAUGGAAAUUUAUUAAGUCCAGUGUUUCUCUCCCACCAAACAGUAUAUAGCUACACAGCAAUGGCAAAAAAGAAAAACCAAGUCGCCAAAAAGGAAAAAUAAUUUGAUGAAAAGAUUUUGGAAAACAACCUUGAGAGGACCAUGGGGAGAGAAUAACAGAGCUGGAAUCUCUUGGAUUAGCAACUGUUGUUGUUGAGAAAUCAGGAGGUGUCUUGAAUUCAUUCAUCUGCAAUAUUGUCCCACCAAUAAUUUCAAUAACAUAUCAUUAUAAAAAUCGCAUGAUGAGCCAUCACAACACGCAUUUUGGUGCAAUUACUAAUUAAUAUGAUCUUUAAUUUUAUUUUUGUAUUAUUGAUAGAUGAAGUUCAUAGGAUUCAUAAGAUGUUGGAAGGCCAAGAAAUGCAGACAACAUACCCAACUGGGUGCACAGCCAGAAGGACCAUCCCACCCUAUAUGGGCCACAUGCUUGACAUCUGUAGGAUACCCAAUUUCCAUCUCUCGUUCUUUUACCACUGCAAGAAAGUACGUACACCAAACAAGCAAUAAUUAUAUUACGAAUUUCAAAUGAUUGUAGUAUCCUUUCUUGAGGGAACUUUAUAAAUAUUUUUUAGAGAAAGAAAUCAUGUAGCAGAUUAUUUGGCAAAGCAGAUUUAGUUGCUUGGUUUUAGUUUUAUUAAUUUCAAAGUUUGGUUUAUACGUUGUGAAGAAAAGAAAGAUGUGAAGGCUUACCAAAGAUUUGGGAGAUGUACUUGAAACCCUUAUAGAUCCCUUUGAUUUUGGUUGCCAUGGAGAAAAUCUUUAGAAGCUAGCCAAAUGCAAUAUAUAGCCCUUGAUGAAUAUAUUUAUUUCGAAACUGAUGAAGGAAGAUGUACCAAAAGAACGUGGAGAGAUGGUUCUUUUGCCUGAUAGAAAACAAAGAUGUACUUAGACAUUUGAGAUUGAUUAUGCAAUCCCCAGAAUCUUACAACACAACAAGUCAAGAAAAGCAAGGUAAAAAAAAAAACAGAUAAAAAAGCUUAGGAGCUUGUCAGAGAAGAUCAUAAAUGCAUGUGAUUUACAAACUAUUUCCUCGUGAAAGAAGUUUGAAUCUUUGAAGGAAAAACACACUGCAUUAAUCUGAAAUCAGAGGGAAAAAAAAACAGUACAGCAACUAUAUAUACCUCAAAGGAUUAAUGGCCAGGAAUAUGACGGUACAAAGAUUAAUUCAAGAGAGAAACAACCUCUCCUCUCUAUUAUCCAACCAGUAUUGCUCCAUAUAUAUGUAUAUAUGUAUUCUAUUCCUAUUCUUGAUGAAUAGAAAAGGUGCACACAAGAAUUCUAAAUGUAAACUUUAUCAUGGGAGAGCUUGGUGGGCAUCAAAGAGACCUCAUUAAAGCCAAAAGAAAUAGCUAGAGAAAAUGUUGUGUGGAUGUCAAAGACUCGAUAAAUAAUAUAAUAGCUAGGUAGCUAGAGAAAGAGAGAGAUUAAAGAAGGUGGGGAGCCAUAAAUAUAGAAGAAGAAACAAGGCAGGCAAAGAGGGGUUUGGAAGACGAAAGCCAGAAAGAAGAGAGGGUGAUAAAAAUUGGGUGGUGGCUUCGUUAAUUGGUUUUGGUUGAUGGGAGAUGUUUUCCGACAAAGGAAAUUGUGAGGGUAAAGCGCGGGCCUCAGACGCUUUUAUCUGUCUUAUUAAGGACUCUUGUCUAAAAAAACGCUGGAGCUCUCUCAAAAUGCGGGCAAAUUUCAGAAGAGAGAGGAGAGAGCAAUUAAAAGAGAAAAAAAAAUGAUGUUUGACUUGUAAACAGAGUAACUAUGCCUUGUAAGCUGGCACCUUGGACUUGAUUGUAUCUUAUAAAACUUAGCUGUCAUGAUCUGAAGGACUGGCCUACUCUCGGAGAAAAAUUACACUAAACUUUAAAGGGUAGGUCUUGUGGUGGGAGAGAGAGAGAGAGAGGAGAGAGAUUUUAAUUUUAAUUUUAGAGUUAAUAUAUUGUUUUUAAAAUAUAUCAAUUUCAUAUAGAAACAAGGGGUAUUCACUUUAAUUAUAGUGAUAUGGACUUGAUAAUAAUUGUCUAGCAUUAUGGUACUUGAGGACAAGGGGUGCAAAAAGUAUUAUGAAAUGGACAAAUUAAGUAGUACUCUUUUUUAUUCUCUUUUUAUAUUUUUAUUAUUUAUUUUCACUACACAUUAUCGGAUAUUUUAAAAAAAUUAUUUUUAAAAUUGUUUUAGUUGAGUAAUAACCAAUAUUAAACAAAUUUAUAAAUAAAAUUAUUUUUUAAAAAAGAUUUAGUUGUAAUUAACAUACUAACCGAUUUAAAUAUAUUUUUAUCAUCGAAUAUAUAUAUAAACCCUCUUAAGUUAUUUCAGAGUAGUAAGAUAAAUGUGAGAAUUAAUGUAUGCUUCAAAUUAUCUGUAAAAAAUAUUGAUUUAUGUGUAAGUUGAUUUAAAAAUAAAUAAAUUGUCGACCUAGUAAAAUUGAGAGGAUUCCUAUAAUAAACAACAGAAAGAAAUUAAUUUUUAUGUACCACAAUAUCCAUUAUUAAAUACUUGAAAAAUCUAUUUACCGGUAUCAGAAUAUCAUCAAUUGUAGUCAUUUCUCACCAACUCGGGCCCUGAAAGCAGCCAGCUAACCUACAAAUGUUCUCUUUCUUUCUUUCUUUCUCCUUUGAUAUGAUACAGGUCCUUAAUUGCCCAACUUAUUUUAUCUGUAUAUCAUAAAGAUGGCAACAGGUGAAAUAUCUGUUGCCAUACCUAACCCUUCAAACUUAUUGAUGAUGAGCGAAGGCCAAUAUUUUAAUAACAAAACAACUCGCUUGCAAUUGCUUCUCUACUUUUAUAUGAUUUGCUUUAAUUUCUAAAAACUCUCACCUAACUAUUUGAGUUUUUAUUUUAUUUUUUUGAGCUGUUAAUACUCUUCUAUAUAUAGUCAUUUUAAUUCUUUGAGACGGGAGAGGAUUAGAUUGAAAAAUCCUCAACUCUUAAGUUCUUAUCCAUAAAUAGUCCAAUAUUUAAUUAAUUACCUAGAUCUUUUCAUUAUCCCAAAAAAAAAAGAGAUAAAAAACAAGGAUAUAAAUAAAUUUUAUAAGGUAAAUACAUAACAGGAAGAGUUUCGGCUGAUCUUUCGUGCCCCCCACAUGGAUAAUCCCACACUAUAAUUUUGUAAUGUUAAAUCUGAUAUGGCACCAUGUGUGCUUUCUGUUGAAGCUACAAGUAAUUCAUUGUAUGUUCUUAAUAAAAAAAAAAAAAACCCAUUAUAUUUUUUAUUGUAUCUGCAACUACUGUAAUGAUAUCAUCCUGUAAUCUACUAGUAUUGCCGAAGUUCCUAUGCUUUUCUGGCAAAUCCCACAAAGGGUUUAGGUGUUUUGAUGACUCGCUAAGUAUUUGCUGAUAAUUGGAGCCACGUUUGUGGCAGCUGUUUCAUUGAAGGAAACAUAAUCAUAAAAUUAAAUCAAGUUGAUAUAUCUACUAUUUUUGUCAGCUAUUUUUUAUAUAUAUAUAUAUAUAUAGUAAAGGUGAUGUUUGACAUUCUCUUCAAUGUGCUUUGAAUAGAAAAAUCUUUGAUUGCAUUUAGUAGAUGGGUGAUGAUUAUAGUGCUUAGUAUUGUGGUAAAGGAGUGAGGGAAAUAAUCUUUAGAUAAAACUUGUUUAUUAAUUCAUAUUUCAUUUUUGAAACAUGGCGCAUUACAUGCAUUUCCUAUUUUCAAGAAUUUCUUUUUAAAAAAAAAAAUGUGUAUAUUGGGAUUUUUGACAGCUUAUUAUUAAUUGAAGAGCAGUAGCUAGAGUAGAAUUCGACUAGAUUUUCAUCGAAGAAAAAUGGUAGGGGGAAAGAACUAGAAGGGAAAGUACCUUUCCACUAAUAGGAAGUCAAUGAUGAUUUGCUUGUGUUUAUAUAUAUAUAUGAUUCAAUGGACAAUCUGUAGAUAUAUACAACUGAAGGCAAGAAGUGAUUUAUGUAAACUAGGAAUCUAACAUGCUUAAUUUGAAAGAAAGUGUUGAUCUAGUCAAUGAGCCUAUGAUUCAAUUGAUAACUUAUGUCCUUUAUCCUUCAUUAUAUCUUAUAAUUGAAUUUAAAAAAAUAGUAUAAAAUGUCUUAUAAUAGGAAUAGUGGUGAUAUUAAAUUUAACAUAAUAUAACAAGUUAUCAAUAUAUUUGUAGAUCAUAUAAAUAAGAUUGAAUUUACAAAAAAAUCUGAACAUGCCAAAUUAAUACACUUUAACAAAAAUAAUUAUAAUUUUAUAUUUAAUUAUUGGAUCAGAAUCAAAUUUAAUUAAGAUAUUCUUCAAGUGCAAUUCUACAAGAGAAUUGGCUGAUUUUAAUCGUUCCAAAGAUGCUAUUUUAUUAUUUGAUUAUUUUGUAGUUAAUUUUGUAUUAUAAUUACUUUCCUAUAUAGUUUUGAAUUAUUUUAAUUAGAUCAGUUUUAACCUUUAUUUAUUUUUUUAUCAAAUUAUUAAAUUACAAUUUUUUACAAAAUAUUAUAGUUUUUUCUACUUAUUUUUCUAUAGUUUAGGUUGUGUGACAUUUAUCUUCUCUUGUAAUGAUCAUGAGAUCGAAAACAUAUUUCUCUUAUAUAUUAAACAUAAACAGCAAUAUCAUUUCGAGAUUUGGGAUACAAACAUGUUCGUUAAAAUGGUACUUGGCAUCCUGACUGAUUUUUUGGUUUUUUUUUAAAAAAAAGAAAGAGUACUGUAGAGAAAGAGCUACCAUCAUAUCGCGCUCGAUCGGAGAAUAUAUAAGUGUGGUAAAACUGAGCUAUCAUGUAAUAUAAUUAAUGGCCCCUUCUUUUCUCAUGUAAGCUUAUCGUGUCUAAGUGAAUGAACAGGUAGGUAUGAUUGCAUAGUUUUACCUAAACGAACUAAGCUCUUGUCAAUAUCCCAAUCCUGCUUCUUUUCUACCUACAGUGUUUCACAAGAUUACUCGUCAAUUUAGGAUUUAUCCCGGAUUAUAUUUUAAAUUAAAUCAAUUAAAUAUUGACCCGGUUAAUUAUAUUAAAAUUCACUUAUUUCUAGAAGACAUGGUAAGCACACAAAAACCCAGUCCAUUUCACAGCCAUUCUGCAACUCCAUUACCCCUCAGCCAUGCCACCUUGUGUCAGUUCAGGUAUUCACCGUAAUACAAUGUUUUCGCCCUUCUCACACUGACCACCCAGCUGGAUUCACCAUUGUUGGACUGCAUAACAACAGUCCUAGAAGACUCCUUCCAUGGCCGGCCCAGGUAUGAUUUGAAUGAGCCCUUAACAGGCUGAAGAUCAGAACUUGAUAUAAUGUCACAUUUUUGGAUUGAAAUCCCUGCGUUUUGGUUUGGGUCAGUUCUUCCUUGGGCUGUUACCAUGUUGUUUUGUCCACUCAUGGGCUUUCGUGGUACAAGCUUGCAGUCAUGGAGCAUCACAGCUUCGGUCUACUGUGCCGGUAAUAUAGCAAUCUCUGUAGAAUCGCCGGAGGCUGUGAGCAAAGAGGGUGUCUUGGGAGGCAUCAAUGCGGCAUCGGUUGAUGACGGAUUGAUCAGCUCCGACGUGGAGUGCCACGGCUUGAUGUUUCUGUGGCCUAGCUGUGUUUUGGAACCAAAUAUCCUGAGCUAUGAAUCCAUCACCAUCAGCAGCUGCUUUGAUGGAUUAUAAAACAUAAUUUCUUUGAUGCAUUAAGAAGGAGAUAGACAUAAUAUGUAUAGAAACUUCCACCAAAAAGAAAGAGAUCUUUACCUACUGUUGCAGACUUGAAUGUUGUAUA
rnacentral:lncRNA from 1 species